rnacentral:lncRNA from 1 species
CUAGAUAUAAUGCUGGACUGGAUCAGUUUGCUAAUUAUGCUGCUGUAUUCAAUCACUUACCUAUCUCUGCCAGCAAUUAUCCGGGCAUUAUGCACCUGGUGCGUUGUAGUUGUGGUGGCAUCGAGUGGUUUAUGAAGCUCUAUGCAUAUUUUUUAAAGCAGUUGAGGGGAAAACAAAUGUGAUGCUACUACACACGUUUCCUGUUUUGAGAACUUCAAAAAUUCAGAGAUGCUUGGCUUUUCAAGCAACUAUUUGUUGUAAAACAUGAUAAAACGCAUCAGAGAGAUCACUGCCACAUGAAAACUUGAUGAUAGAGUUAAAAUACUUCUUUGUAAACAUGACAAGUGAAUCGUAAUCAGUGGAAAUAUGUUGAUUUCAACAAUUAUUAGUUUGCUCGUUAUCUUUGUUCUUUGAUCCAUUGACGUCAUAUUAUGCACAGCCUGCCAACAUUCUAAACAGUAUUAGGUUAAAUGGGGGAGAAAUGGAAGACUCCCAAUUUACAAAUUCUUUUUAGCUCUUUGAAUUUCCUAUCCUAAAAUAGAAAAGGUAUGGGGCUCAGAAUCACGGGCCUUCCAACCUAGAGGGUGGUUGUUUACGUGGUUGUUUCUGAUUUUAAAGUAAAGUAUAAAAAAGUCAGAAUCAUCGGCUCUUUCAACUUAAAAGGGUGGUUGUUUCUGAAGUUGUUUCUGCUUUUGAAGUAAACCACAAAAAAUAAGUGUUUGAUAACUGAAAAAAUGUGUUUUAUUUCAUGAGGGACUCACCAUGUUUCGUGUUUUAAAUGCAAAGAGCAGUUUCACGCUGCUUAUCUCUGUCUCCACAGAGUGGCUAUUCACUUUUGUAAAAUAAACAGUAGAGAGUGAAAUACAAAUGUAAACAGUGGAGAAUGAAUAUUCACUCUCCUUUGUGUGGAGAGUGGAGAACGUCUCUACUAUUCCGGCUGGACCAGAUUCGGUCUAAAUUUUAUUCUAUACUAUUCCGGCUGGACUGGAUCCAAUAAAAAAAAUCUAAUUUUUUAAUUGUGUUUUACUUGAAAAACUUAUAUUUAAUAUUAUUCAAUGACACUACAUAAAUUAGAAAGAGAUCGCAUGAUGAUGUAGCAUUUGCAGAAUUUGAUCGCAAUUCCAAUUUUGUUCCUGAUGAUAUUUUAACUGAUUUUGUUGCACACUCAAAAAACCAUGGAAACUGUAGUCUUUAUCAGAUGAAUUUCGUACAUGAUGGAAUUGUAGAUAGGUUAAUGGAACAAUAAAAAAUAUUUGAUAUAAAAGUGUUAUUUAUUUAAUGAUGUAAUCAGAGUAGUUAAAUCUACAAUAUUUAAAUUAAAAAUCUUCAAUAUUAAUAUAUAUAUUUUUUAGUUAUUUUAUAACCUUAAUUUAAAAAGUGUUUUUUACCAAACACAUUAAACUAUUGUUUAUUCAAUCACAGUUUUAACCAAACAUAUAUAAUUUUAUCCUUGUUAGUCCUCAAACCUUCAAUUUGUGUUGUUUUGAUCACAUUCUCAAAUCAUGUUUUAAUGUUUCUUCAAUAAGAUCUCAGUUUGUCUAUCCACCUGUCGUUCUGAAUAAUUGUGCAUGGCUGAUUAAUCCGAAUUAUAUUUUUAUUAUCAUUUUUUUUUAGAAACUUGAAAUUAGAUUAUGACAGCUGGGCCAAAAUGGGUCCAACCCAGUACAACUUAGUAACUAGCUCAGCCCAGCGACUAAGUUGUACUUAUAAAUGGUAGAACAUGAAUUAUAAUUCACGUCCUGCACAUUUACAUGUAGAAAAAGAAGAAGAAAACAAGAAAAUGAGGGGAAAAGGAGAAGGUUACGUGAUAUGGAGGAGGUGUUGUUGCCAUUGUUGGGAGGUCUGGUAUGGGGGUGUGGCUGCCGAAAAGGAUGAGGUGGAGAAGUUAACGCUCCUGAGGUACAAGAAGAUUGCAAUGGAGAGAAAGAAGAUGAAGAAGUUGGCGAUGGUGGGGGUUGUCACUGUUACCGGUGAGCAGAUGGGUUGGUGGAGAAGGUUAGGCCACUCUUGGUAACGGUGAUAUUGAGAGGUAGUGGUGGCUGAAAAAAUGGAGGGGAGAGAGGUGGAAGAGGCGGACGAAGAAAAAACAUUGAUUUGUCUACCAACUUUGGCCUCGGAUUUCUUGAUGAUCUCAAUGCAUGGAAUCCUGCUAAAAUUAGGCUCUCAAACUUAAUUUUUCUCCAAUUAAACUCCUAAUAAAAUUAAUUUGCCUUAUUUAAAGUAUAAUUAAGUCUUUGCACCUAAUUAAAUUAUCUAAUUCGACCCAAAUUAAUUCUUAAACAUAAUUAAACUUUUAAUUUGGCCCAUGAUUAAAUCAAUUUAGCCUAUUAAAAAUCUAAUUAUGUCCUUGUAUUUAAUUCUUAUGCAGAUUUAUCUAAUAAUUAUUUAAUUUGGUAUUGGAUCUGUAUUGUUUCUUUCGUUUUGGGCACAACGGGGUACGAUCGGGGUUUCAACUUUGUCCAAAAUUGCAACUUGAUAUUAUGCAUAUUUGAAAUCCUUUCUCAUCGAGCUUUUUCCUCAUCGCCAGUCUCCUUGCUAUUAUUAUUUAUUUUUAUUUUUUAAGGAAAAAAAAAGGGGUAAAUUUAAGGGAAUAACCUAAAAAUAGGUAGUGGCAUUUUGUAGUGUGCGUUUAUUAAUGCAAUGCAGAGUGCUUUUUGAAAGUGUUUUUCAAUUAAAAAUGUGUCUUUUCAUAAUUUAUUUUAUUUUUAACAUUAAUACAUCAAAAUCAUCGAAAAACACCUAAAAAUAUUGAUUUAAUAUUUUUUUAAAUAAAAAUUAGUUUGAAAAAUAGGUUAAACUGCAACACAAAAAGCGCUAAUUACUUAAAAAAACUUAUCCACAACUAGAUUAUAUAUAGAUAGACAUUAAUAUCCAUACACAUACAAAUUAAGAAUCAAAUAUAUGACUCCAACAGCUAAAUUGAAUCAAUACUAACACAACAUUUUGUAACUUAGAUAUAAGUCCGAGCUUGAGUCAAUAGGAUACCAAGAUUGAUCUGUUACUACCCAUUUUAUAACUACGUUUUGUUAUACCAGUAGAAAUUUUGGAAUAUCCCAUAUCUACUCAGAACCCAUAAUGAUCCGAUGACCUGUUGUAAGGUGUCGGUAUGACCUUUAAGGGAACACUUUUUCUAAGUGUUAUCCCUAUUUUAUCAGUCAUGUCUAUGUCCUCUGGCUUGAGACCAUCGGGCAAAAUCCAAUCAAAUGAAAGCAAGAGCGAUCCAAGAGCCAAGGGAAGGACACGAGAAGCGAGCGGCAUGGCAGGGCACAUUCUACGGCCAGAACCAAAUGGUAUGAACUCAAAAUGACGACCUUUGUAGUCCACCAUGUUUGGUUCCAAGAACCUUUCUGGCUUGAAAACCAGAGGGUCAUCCCAAGUUUUUGGAUCCCUUCCAAUGGCCCACACAUUAACUAGAACUGUUGUCUCUUUAGGGAUGUAAUAGCCUUGCAUCUUGCAAGGGUUCAUGGCCAUGUGCGGGACUAAUAAAGGGAGAGGAGGGUGAAGCCUCAGUGUUUCCCUGAUGACUGCCUUUAGGUAUGGGAGAUUCUCAAUGUCUUUGUCUUCGAGCUUCUUGUUGGGGCCAAUGGUGCUUCUCAACUCGGAUUGGACUGUCUUCAGCAAUUUAGGGUUACGUAGAAGUUCAGCCAUGGCCCAUUCCAAAGUGCUUGUUGUUGUAUCACUCCCUGCCGUAAACAUUUCCUGUAAGAAAAAAUCAUCACAAUAAUUAAGUUUGUUAGCGAUUUAAUUUUGUAUACUAAAAAAAAAACAACUCACGGUUUAUAACAGAUAAAAAAAAACAUUUUACGAGACUAGCUUCAGUAUUAAAUCACGAUCUCUAUUGAUUUCUUUCAAUACAUAUUUUCCAUACAAAUAUACCAACAGGCAAACACUAAAAAAAAAUCAAUUGUUUUUUUGUUAACAUAACCAAACAAUAAAAAAUAGAGUAUUGGAGGAGUAUAUGUUUACCAAGAAACUAUCAAAGGAGUAGAGGGGAUCCACCAUCAAUUAUUUUAAUUGUUAUUCAUUCAUCAAUUAUUUAAAUUGUUAGAAACUAUCAGGCUAGACAAUAUCUUGAUAUUCGAUCUUUUCAUCAGCAUUAAUUAACGCAGAUAUCCUCCUCUUCUUGUUUUUUAUUGGCAAGCAAUGAUGUGUACCAAAAAUAUACGAUUGCUCUCUCAACCCUUCCUUGAUAGAUAGAUGUCUUGUUGUGCCAAAAAUCUUUAAUUAUACUCUUUAGUUUUGCAUGGUUUAAUAGCACUUUGCACUCUCAAUAAUCACUUAGUUUCUUAUUUGCACUAUGUAUCGGGAACCAUAGUUUCAUGGCCAAGCCAUAGUUAUAAUACGGAGUUGAAGGCUCGGAUCACGGGAUAGACGAAUUAAUAUAGACUUACCAAUAAAGUUUCUUUUAAAGUUCAAUUUUUUUUUUAUUUUAUCUCUUAUAAACCGUGAGUUGUUAAUUAGUGGCAUGUGUAAGAGAUAGGACAGGAGAUCAGGAAAGGAGAUGCUACUUACUAAGACAAUCGCAUUGAUCGUUGUUGAAGAAAAUCUAGAGGGCUCCUCCACGCCAUCACCACGAAACUCCAAAAGGACAUCUAGGUAAUCUUUCCUCUUGUCAUCUCUACUGUUUUCCUUUUGCAUACUCUCUGUUCUUUCUUUGAUGAACCCUCCUGCAAUCUCAAAGGCUCUUGCAACAUGGAACUGUGUCUUCCUCCUUAUACCUUGUGGAUCAAGCCAUCUUAAAAUUGGCAAAAAAUCAGCCAUGUUAGGCUUACCUGCCAGCUCCAUGAUCUUACCUGCAUGCUGAAAAAACUUAGCUCCCUUCUCCGAUUCUGGGUCCAAUAAAUCUUUCGAAAACAUGAGGUUGCCAAUAAGAUUAAAAGCCAUCAAGAAAAUGUAUUUCCCAAGGUCAAUAGCGCUGGUGCCAUUGGCACUAUCAUCUUCUAUGUAUUGCAGCAUGCUAUCGAUGCACCUAGUUCGUGCACCCUGCAUGGCAUCAAGGCGGCUAGUCACAAAGAAUUCGGUGGUGCACAAGCGCCUUAACAUGCGCCAAUGCGGUCCAUAUUGGGCUGUGAUUAUAGACCCUUCAUUGCCAAGAUCACCUCUCAUAGCCUCGUAGAUUUUUCUCCCAGCCAACACCGCAUCAUGAUUCUUGAACAUCUCACGAGCCACUUCGCUUGAGGAAAUGACCACGUUACACAUGGACCCGAGCCAAAUGGUCAUGAUUGGACCAUGAACACGAGCCAAAUUAGCAAAAGACUCGUGUGGUGCCCCGCCCAACUGGAAGAUGUUGCCAACCACUGGCAGUGGUCUAGGCCCUGGUGGUAGCUGCCCUUGCUCUUCUAAACGACGGUAACGACGUUGAGUCACCACUGCCCAUGCAACCCAUAGCAAGACUGCUAGAACCAGACCUGCAAUUUCAUAGUCCAUAUCUUUCUUUGUGUGUAUGACUAGUGAUGGUUUCUUGUACCCUAGGUAGGCUUCAUUUAUAUAGAAUUCCAUGCAUGUUAGGUUAAAUUAUAUGAUAAUUAUUAAAAAAUAAUAUAAAUUAUAUUUUGAGAUCUCAUCUAACCGUUUAAGUUAUUGGGUUGAGAUGGUUCUUUAACAUAGUAUCAAAGCCUUGAUAAUCAAGCGGUCACAAGUUCGAAUCUUAUCAUUCAUGUUUAUUUGAUAAAAAUCAAGCACAAUGUAAUGUAAAUCUAUACAAGUUUCAAGUUUAAAAGACUUUCACUUGAAAGAGUGUGUUAGAAAAUAAUAUAAAUCAUAUCUUCUGACAUCACCUAACCGUUUAAGCUAUUAGGUUGAGAUAGUUCUUUGACAUUCAUCAAGUAAAAUUUGUAUUUGUCUUCUUUUGAUAGGAAUUUAAACCAAUAUAUAUGUACUGAAUAAUUGCAUGUAAUCAUUGCAUUAAAAUUCGAUUACUAUAUCAAAAUAAAAGAGAAAAAAAGGAUAUAUUUUUUGUAAUGUUAUUUUUAAAAUAUAAAAAUUUACUAUAAAAUUAAUUAUCAUAAAAACAUAUUUUUUUAUAUUUAUAUUUUUAUCUAUUUAAUCAAACAUAUUUUUAUUUCGAUGUUUUUACCUUGAAAUAAUAACAAAAUAGUAUGCAAUUGGUUUUUUUUUUUAUCUUGGUCUUUCUUAUACGGGUUUCACCUACCACAUUCCUCCCAUCGUGGUGUCCGUAGAAAUUAUUCAAUGAUAAUAUUAUACUAAGAAGUUAUCUCGAUUCUAGAAUUAAAUUGCGGGGCAAGAAUCUAAUAAUAUUUCUUAUUUUAUAUUACUAUGUAACAACCCAAAUAGACUAAUUAACAAGGUACAUACGUUCAUAAUUUGAUAGGAUGACAAAACUAAUUAACAAGUUUGGAAAUAUUGAGGACGUGGUUGGGAUUUAAUUAUCUAUCCAUCCACGUAUAUGUAUCCUUGUUACGUAAUAGUUAGUUUUUUUAUGGAUAAUGGCGUAAUUCAAUUUUUUAUUAAGUUAAGAUUUCGCAUUAAAUAAUGACCACUUCAUAAAUUUAAGAUUGUUUUUGUCUAGAAAAAAGAAUUCUAAUAGGUUUUAGUGUUAUACUAAUCAUUUUCCCAUUUAAAAGUGUGUUUGGUUUUUAGGUAGCUUUGGUGCUUAUGAUUUUAAAAAAGUAAGUUUUAAAAAAGUGUUGUUAAUUGGAUUUAGACGUGUUUGGUAAAAAUUAUGGUUGAAGUUUAUGUGCAGCAAAAUACGUGUAUAAAAUGUUUGGUAGUUAUGUGAUUGAGGUUGCUUUCAAAGUAUCUUUUACUUAUAAAUGCAUUAAAAUAAUGUAUUUUUAUUUUUUAAAAAAAAUGAUAUUAGUGCAUCAAAAUAAUCUAAAAACACCAAAUAAAAUAUUAAUUUAAAAAAAAAACGAAGAAUAAAAAAUUAUUAAUUUUUUUCAAAACUGCUUUUGAAAAGCAAAAACAAACAGUAUUUUAUGAAACUCGAUUAAAAAAACAUGAAAAAAUUGUUUCACAAAAAAUGUGUUUCAAACUCAAUUUUUUAGUAGACCCCACAAUAUAAAACAGAGUUUUUACAGUUAUCACAUACCUUGCUAUAUAUGUUUUUUGUACCGCAAACGUAAAAGUAGUUGCAAAACAAACGCACCCUUCUUUCUUUAUAAAUAUACUUGUACUUAGACCUAAUUUGUUUUUAUUUAGAGAUGAUAUUGCAUGUUCUUGUGUGCUAUAAAGAUAACUAGCAAUAAAAUAUUAUAUUAUGGUAAGGAUUGGGUUUGAGAAUUAUUCAAAACUUGUACUAGUUUUGACUAUAAUAAAAAAAAAAAUCUUCGAUACUUAACAAUUACAGAUUAGAUGCAUGGUGAAUCUGGUUUUGAUUGAUACUUUAAUCUUACUGCAUCAGUUUUGGUGUACAAUAACUCAGAUCCAUUAAUUCUGAGGGGUGUAGUUCAACUGGUCAAUUUCUAGAUUUGCUUCCUAGAGGUCACCAAUUCGAGUCCUACAAACCUCGGGACCACUAGAAGCAAGGGCGGAGGCAUGUUAAAGGCUUGAUGGGAUAUAGCCCGAGUCAAGAUUUUAUCAAUAUUUUUUUACUAGUUUUAUGUAAAAUAAAUUAUAAUUAUCGAUUGAGUUAUUAAAAAAUUCUGAAAUUCUGCGUGGAGGCUUCUAAUAUGAUGUUUUAGCUUGGAUUAAAAUUUCAAAAAUUUUGGAGAAAAUCAGAAAUUUGAUGAAAAAUCAUAAUUUGACUAGUUUUACGUUAUUGAGCAUAAUUUUAUAUCCGACCAUCGGAUUGAGCUGAAAUUUUAUGAGAGAUCUUAAAUAUAUUGAAUAAGAUCUGGUUAAAUUUUUAGAAUGAACAGAGUUUGGUAGUACUGACAAAAAAAAGACCAUCAAAUAAAAGCAAAAUGACUCAUUAAGGGUACUAAAAUGGUUAUUUGCCAUUAAAAAUAAAACAAAUUAGCUCUUCUUUCUUUUUAUAUGUUGCCGACUGGGUAGAAGCAGAAUAGGAAAAAAAAAGUGAGAGAGAAAGAGAGAAAAGUAAAGGAAAAACAUUAAAAAAAUUCAAAGAAAAAAUAAAAAACAAAAAGUGAGAAUAACCUUAUAAACUUACAAAAUCCUACUUAUAAAACACUAAUCUAAGGAAGAAUCAAGUGAAGGAAAGAGGAAUUGAGAGAAAAAAAAAUUUAAUUACUUUGUUUUUCAAUUAACAUGAGAUUGCUAUUUUAUCUCGGUUGAAGAGUUGUUAUAAUAUCGAUUCAAAUUCAAUUAUAGAUGAAUUAUAUUCCACAAGACAUCGAAGGAUAUAACUUCAAUGGUGGGUUUAUUUUUACUUUCACUUUAAUUUUACGUACUUUCAAAUUUAUUUUUUAAUAUUUUAGGUAGUAUAUUUGAAUUAAAACUUUACAGUUAACUUCAAAAAUUCAUGUACAUGAGUUAAUAAUUAAUCUUUAAAAAAAAUUAUAUAUUUAUUUAAUACCCCAGGGGAGGAAAAAUCCAUGGCUCCGCCCUUGAGUGGAGGCUUACAUGAUCGUUAACUUAAAGGCACAUGGAAUUAAUCGAGGUGCACGCAACCUGAUCCGGACACCCAUGUUAAUCAAAAAAUAAUAAUCAGAUCCAUCGGCUUCCCUACCUACCCAUCCUGCUGUCCCAAAACAAUCAGCAUGACUUCUAUAUGUUACGUGAAUGUAUUAACUUAUGUUGCACAAAUUGAUUGACUUAGUUCCCACUACUAAUUUCAUUCCACAUGCAUCAUUUUUUUUGUGAGUUGGAUUUGUUUUAAUGGUUGAGCAUAAUUUGCAGGGCGCUAAUUUGAUUCCUUUGACUAAAUUCCAAAUUUUAGAGGUAUUCUUUGCAUUUUCAAGUUAGAAACAAUAAGCUUCGUCUCUUUUUUAUUUUUCCCGCACUUUAACUGACUAGAGAUUAAUCUCAUUAAUUAUUAAAAUUAUAAUAUUCUGUUAUAUAGAUGUUUUAAUUUUAAAUUUUUUGGAUGAAAAAGCAAUAAAUUUCUUAUUAUAUUGCGUGCCUUGUAAUACAUCCAAAUCCAAAUCAAAAUCAGACUAAUUAAAAAGUUACAUGUAAAUAUGUUCUUAAAGGAUGACAAAAGUAAUUAAGAAGUUAGUAAAUCUUAAGGUGGUUAAAAGGGAACAAAUGUGUGUGUGUGUGUUUAAGGUGGUCGGGAUUUAAUUAGUUAAGUUAUGUCUUCUUCUAAUAAUUAAAUUUCUUAUGGAUUUCUAUUGAAAUGUGUACGAGUUCAAAUUUUUAUUAUAUGAAGAUGUCACACAUUAAACAAUGAAAACUUUAUAAAUUUAUUAUUGUUUUGUGUAGAAAAAAAAUAUUUAAUAAAACUAGUAUUUUACUAAUCCUCAAGCCAUCAGAAGUAAAACAUAUUAUCUGCAAAUACGUCUUUAGGCCUAGGGUUUUUUCUAAGCAUAACCAUGCACUUUCUUGUGCGCGAAAAAGAUAGCAAGCAUGAGAAAUUCAUAGUGUGCUGUGAGGAUUGGAUUGGCCUAAAUAUAUUUUGAAGUAGGGUUUGAGAUGUUUUUCAAAACUUUUAUUGGUUUUGAUUAUACAGGCACAAUAUUCGUACUAUAUAAAAUAUUUAAUAUAUUGUGUGAUUAUAAUUCAGAUCCAUCAGCUCAAGGGCAGAGCUAGGAUUAUUUGUUAAGAAGAGUCAAAAUUAAUAUAACAAGAUAAAAUAUUUUUUUAAUUUAUUGUACAUAAGUUAUAAAACAAUACAAACAUAUUAUGACCUUUGCACAAGAUAAAAGGUUUUGAGCAAUAUCAAAUUGAGUCAAAGCGAUGAAGUUAAUUUCAUCUUUAUAAUAUAUCUAUCACUUUAAUUUUGUUAGUCUUUAUAUCUAUCAAAUAUAAAUAUACAAAGUAUAUAAGAAACAUUAAAUAAAGCGAAACAUUAUUUAUUUUUUAUAAACUUUGAAAUAAAAUAAAAAAUAAUAAAGAAUGAUGAUUCCAUGUUUAUUUUAAUUGUGCUCGUCAUUCUUUCAUAGAAUAGAAAUCAUUGAUUAUCAUAUGAAUUGUGAAUCUUUCAGCAAUUUCUUUUUUCUAUAUAGAUAAUCAAAUAAUUUGCAAGAAAAUUAUCAUCCAUCAGAUUGCAAAGUCUUAUUUUAAUAAUCUUUGUCACUGAAAAAGCUCAUUCAAUAGUCGUUGUCGAAACAUGAAGAGUCAAAAUAAGCCGAAUCAACCUGUCAAUGAGUAAAUAAAUUGUUGAUUUUUCUGUUUCAACCAAUCUUUAACAUAAAUCAGUAAUCGAUGACAUAUAACUUUGGAUGAUCGGGUACAUCAAGCUCAUAAUGCUACAAAUGAAGUCUCAAAUGAAUUUUUUCUUCAUCGGAAAAAUCUUCAGGAUAGAACUUGUUAAUAAGUAAACAUAUAUCUUUAAUAUUGAAUAAUUUAUAGUUAUUUAUAGGAUCUAAAGUUGUGCUUAACUUAGGAAGCUCGAUUGCCUGCUCAUUGAAUCUAUUAUUUAGCUCUUGCAAUUGUUGAUCAAUGAUAGCUAUAAAUAUAUCAACCCGGUAAUGAUGGUUUACUUGGAAAUAAAUAGCAAGGAAAAUAAAAUGCAGUAUUUUUCUUUAAAUAUUCAAGCCAUGGAUAACUUUUUAUUCAACAAGAUUGAAAUCGACGAGGAUGUUUUUCACCAUUCAACGGAUAUUCAGACAUCAAAGGUUGAUAUGGCCCUAAAGUAAUGUAUGCCCUUCGAAUUUCAUCUUGUUGAUUAACCGGGUAUUUUUAAAUUUAAGAACGAUUGCUUGGGUCUCUAAUUAAAUGAGCAAUGAUGAUUCUAGUAAGAGGCUGCUCACUAAUCAAUGUAGGUUCUUCAUAAACUGAAGCACAUUAAGGUUGCUCAACCAUAACUUCAACGUUACACAUUGGAGUUGGUUCGCUAGGCUGUGAGUUAUCAAUAUUUGUUCUCUUUUUCUAAAAAAAAAAAAAUCAAUUCUUCUUAUUUUGUUCAUGGUUCAACCUAAAAUCAAAACAUAUAUCGUGAGAAAAAAAUUGAUAAUUUUGAUGGCUCUGCUAAAAGCAAAACAUAAAAAAAAAAUCCAAGUAUAAUCAAGACAAAUCAAUAAAAUAUAUCUAAUUAAUUAGAAGAUAAAAAAAACAUCACUAUAACAAGAAUUCAAAAACAAAUUUGGUAAAAUUAGCAGAUUUGAGAAAAAAAACAAAAAGAAGCAAAAAUAAUAGAAUUAUGAAAAAACCUCAUCAAAUUCUUAACAAACAUCCCAAAAUAAAAUAAAAAUAAAUUUUAAGUUUGGGAUUAAUGAUGCUCAAUUACCUUGAUUUGUUUUUUGAAAAAAGAAUUAAUCGGUGGCGUUCUGCUUCAAUCUUUCUGUUUGCAAUUUAUAUUUUUAUUUCUAUAUUUUACCUUUUAUAUUAGGGCUGCAGCUGAUUGAAUAAAAUUUCAAAUAUAAACAACCCCUGGAAAGCCUUGACCUUCCCUUGUUCUACCCUUCGAACUCGGAUAUUGAAAGGUGAUUGAAUAGGAAGAUAACUCUUUGCAGCAACAGAGGCGACGUUCCCUAUAUCUAGAUUUGUUUUUUUUUGUUGAAAUCGAGAAUAGAUAUAAUAUAAAAAAGAAAGAAUAAACAGUGUGAUUAGGGUUUUAGCUUUAACUACAUAGAUUGUAGUCUAGGCAUCAAUCUAAAUACAAUAAAUAAAUACAAGAAAAAUCUAUAACCCUACUAUCAGGCCAACAUAAAUUCUAGAUUAGUGUAAAAAUAAUAGAAAAACCUAUAAACCUAUAACCUAUAUAUCUAGAUUAGUGAGACUUCAACUAAUAUAGGUGGGGGAAAAGACUGUAAUAAAUUCUAAUUGCUUUAUGAACACGCUUAAGGGGUGUGUGUCGUUUGAAACCUAGUUUAAAACUAUUUUUAGGUUAUUUUAAAAAGUGUGUUUGGUAGGAAAAUGUAUUAAAUUGAUUUUUUUUUAUGUUUUUUUUUUAUAUAGUUUUGAUGUGGUGAUGUUAAUUAAAAAUAAAAAAAUAUUUUUAUAUAUUUUCAAGUAAUUUUUUUAAAAAAAAUACAAUGCUCCACAAUUUCAAAUAUAAAUUAAGAGAAAAUGCUAUUAUGAUUCACUUUCAUUAUCAUGAAUUGAUUAACUUAGUCUCCUCUAAUUUGAUUCUAAAUACAUCAAUUAAGUUUGAUUAAUAUGUGUAUAGGUUGAGUUGCUUUCACCCCAUGACUGUUUAAUGCAUAACUUGCGGGGAGCUAAAUUGAUUCCUUUGUCUAAUUAAAUCCCAGAAGUUAGGUAAUUGAGGAAAUAGAGAUUUUUGUAUUUCUUUUUUCUUUAUAUUGAUCCUUCCGUGUUAACUCUUAUUUUCGGUUGUUUAGUCAUUAAUUAAAUGGCUAAUAACCACUUUUCAAUAGAUCAAACGAUGAUUAUAAAAUUAAAAAACAAAUCCCAUUGUUUUGGGUAUUCUUUGCAUGAUGAAAUCUGAAAUGAUAAGCUUCGUCUCUUUUUUAUUUCCCCCCUUGUAGUUGACAAGCAAGAAGUGAGCAAAAAGAGUUCAAGGUUUCAAUAUUUGACAACUAAUAAGUCAUUUCUACAGAUUCUUCCGUGGAUUUUCACUUUCCUUCUACGAAACCACGACAAGGAACGCGCAUUUUGGGUGAUUCGCGAUGACCUCCGAAUCCCCUUGCACAUGCAUUAUUAAGACAAGCCCUCUAGUUGAAAUAAAAUAAUCCAGUUGUUACCUAUUACCUUACAUUAUUUAAGUUGGGUAUGUAGUUGAUAUAUAAUUUUAAAAAAAUACAUAAUAUAAUAUUAUUUAACAAUUAAUAAGAGAGCUUUCAUGUAUGAGAUGUUGCCUCUGACUUUUUAAUUUUUAGUAGUGAUAGUGAUAGAAGAGUUUACUUUGGAGUUAACCAAAAAAAAAAAAAAACUGAUAAUGAUAAUAGAUAAGUGAUGAGAAAAAUUAGAUUCAAUCAACUCAGAAAUAAAGGGAAAAGGAACAUAGGAUAACAGCUUGGGUUGGGAAAGUUGUGUUAACAUGCAUUAUUAAGACAAGCCCUCUGGUGGAAAUAAAAUAACCCAAAUGGAAGAGUAAGAUUAAAAAAACAAGUUUGUUUUUUUGUUUUUUUAAUCUUACUCUUCAUUCAAAAAACUUGACCAUGAAAUAACCCAAAUGAAAAAAUAAGAUUAAAAAAACAAAAAAACAAACUUGUUUUUUUAAUCUUACUCUUUCAUUUGGAUUAUUUCGAGUCUGUUUGGUAUUGUGAUUAUUGUUAUGGUUGUGAUUUUAAAAAAAUAGUUUAAUAAAAAGUAUUUUUUUGAGAUUUAUUUUUAUUUUUGAUGUGUUUGAUUAAAAUUGUAGUUAAAAUUAUGGUUGAAAAAAAAAAACAGUUUAUAGUGUUUGGUUAAUAUUUUUUUUAUAUGAGGUUUGAUUGUAAAAUUACUGAAAAUGACAUUAUAAUAUAUAUAUAUAUAUAUAUAUAGUUAACCUCUAGUUAAAUGCGCACUUAAUCUAUUAAUCACGCGGAUGAAUAAAGAACUCGGCUUUGAAAAUGGAAUUGUUAUAUAGUAACUUACAUUAUUUAAGUUAGGUACGUCGUUGAUAUAUAAUUUUAAAAAAAAAUACAUGAUAUAAGAUUAUUUAACAAUGAAUAAAUACAUAAUUAACUAUUAUACAUAUAAUUUCUAAAUAUAAAAUAUGUCUUGAACGAUAUAUAUAUAUAUAUAUAUAUAGAGAGAGAGAGAGAGAGCUCUUUUGUAUGUGAGAUAUUGCUGUGUUGGUUAUAGCAUAGGUCUUGACUUUUUAAUUUUUAAUAGUGAUAGGAGAACUUACAUUGGAGUUCAUCAAAGAAAAAUGAAGAAAAUAAUAAUGAUAAUAGAUGAGUGAUGAGAAAAAUUAGAAUCAGUCAACUCGUGUAUAGGAAACAAAGAGGGAAAAAAAAAAAUAUAUAUAUAUAUAUAUAUAAUAGGAGAGCUUUCGUAUUUGAGAUAUUGUCGUGAUGGUUAUAGCAUAGGUCUUGACUUUUUAAUUUUUUAAUAGUGAUAGGAGAACUUACAUUGGAGUUGAUCAAAGAAAAAUGAAAAAAGUAAUAGUGAUGAUAGAUGAGUGAUGAGAAAAAUUAGAAUCAGUCAACUCGUGCACAGGGAAGAGAGGGGAAAGGAAUAGAGGAUAACAUAUUGGGUUGGGAAAGUUGUGUUAAUUAACUAGCAGUGUCAGUGAGAGAGAAGAGAACACAGAUAGAAAAGCACUUGUAAAUUGCUUUCCAAAAACUGAGAUUAGAAAUCGGUUUCUGAGUGGGACCCAUGUGAAAUAAUGUUAUUCAACUUAACAAAACACUUUAGUCCUGCGUUUAUUUCUAGCCACAGCUGCAGUGCAAACAUGCACUUCAUCAUAAUUUGUUUGAGCUCUUCAAACCUCAGGGUCACUAGAAAUUUACAUGGUCAUUAAUUUUAGGACUUAAAAUAUUAGUCAAUUAUAAUAAUAUAAAUAUCUUUUAAAAAUUGUACACAGUUGUUCAAUUUCCCGUAGCAUAAUUUACUAUUCAUUACAAUAAUAUAAUUACUAUGUUGUUCCUUAGUCAUUUAAUCUUUUGACUUGGCUUUGGGGUUAGGUUGGUCUUUUCACCAUGAUAUAAAUAUCUUUUAAGGAUUGUAUGGGGUUGUGCUUUUUAAUGCAUAAUAAAAUUACUAAUGUAACCCUUGAAUAAAAUAAUUUAAUACCUUCGGUUUUGUCAAUACAUAACGUCACACGGCGGCUCCACUUUUUUUAUUUAACAAAAAGAUUAAUCGGCAAAAAUAAAAAUUUAAUUGGAGUCACCAUCUAGUAAUUUGAAGGAAAUAAAAAUCCCAAAUUAGACACUAGUUAUAGAGAUUUAGGUACUAGGUUGGUUAUAAUUAAGGGAAGGUAGACAUUACCCUUAGAACAUCCUUUCAAGAGAAAGGCUAUCCUUACUUGUGUUUUUUUAUUAUUAUUCAAAUGCUAUAAUAUUUUGAGCUUAUUUGCAAUUUAUUUUUAAAAAUGAUUAACAGCGGUCCCUAAAAAUAAAAAUAAAAACACGUCAAAAAAUGACAUUAGUCCCUAAAAAUAGAAGACUUGUCUAAAAUGUUGACAUUUAACCUUAAAAAGAAGAGCUUAGUAUGAGUUGCAAAAAAGAAACAAUGGACAUAAUUCAUAUUUUGUUUUUAAACUUUUGAUAACAGUUCUUUUUUUGAAAAAAAGAGAUAUUUUGACAAACAAUUUUCAUUUCUAAAAAGAAAGAUUAUAUUGGUUUCGCUAAAAAAUGAGCAUAACCCAUGUUUGAGAAUUGGGCUUUGGACCCGCGCACGAUAAUGGGAUAAAAAGGGUGUUAGACCCACGUCGUUAUUCCUUUUAUAUUUAUUUUGGGUAUUUUACAAAAUACAAAGAAAAUUUUACAAGUGCUUGAAUAAAAAAUAAAUAAAAUGCCACUAGGAACCCCCAAAAUUACCUGAGUGCCACUAUAUAGAAAAAAUACUGAAAUACCCUUGCACUUCUCAAAAAAUUAAGAAAAUACACUUGUGGCACGUGUAGUUCACGCACGGCCACUGAUGGAGAUGUGAAAUUCUUCAGCGAGAUUCCGAGCCAAAAAAGGGUAGAUUAUGGUAGCUCUAGGGGAGAGGAUUCUGACAAGGGAGGUUUUGAUGGUCGUUGAUGGCUGAUGAGAGAGAAUCGAUGGUUUGAAGCUUCAGGUAGCCGAAGAUGUUGCGGCCUUUUCCGGAAAGAUACAGCGUAGAAAGCGAUGAAAAACGCCUAGGGUUUUCUAGCGAGGAGAUGAGGAACCUUUCUGUUGUGGUCCAGACUCUUUACGGGGUCGGAGUUGGGAGAUUCGUGUAGAGAGGGGAUCGCCGGCGAGAGGAGGGAGAAUCUCUGAGAUCUGCUAUGGUGCAACCGUUAGCAUGGUAAGCUGGUGAAUCGGAUCUCAUAGACCGUUGGAUGAGUUAUGAAUUGAUCCUACAGCUAUGAUUUGCUUGAUCAUAAAUUAAUAGACGGUCCCGAUUGUCAGAUCUUUGCUUCAAUGUGAUAGGAUGCACCUGAGGCUUGGUACACUAGGUGACGUAGUAAGACAGAAUCAAAGGACAUACCGUUUAAAGGGCUGAGAUGGAUUUGGGCCAGUGUACUUUGCCCUAUUUGAUCAUAUCUAAUCAAGGGUCCAGAACUAAAUACUAUUUGAUUUAACGGUUAGUAUAUUUUUUGGUAUUUUUUAAAUUGUUUUUUAAAAAAAUAAAUUUCAUACUCGCAUGAAAAGAAAAAUGAAAAAUACAUGAAUAGUAUUAGCUUUAGUAUUCACUUCUUAUUUUCUGUCCUUUUUUUUUUCUUCCUCCUUUCUUGUUCUCUUUUACUGGCUUUGUCCGAAGAAAAAAUUUCACAUGCCUCAACAGCACCAACUACUACAAUAAAUAUUUAUGCAAAAUAAUUUUAUUAUGUAUAUUAAUAAAUAUAUAUGUCGGUAAAACUAAAACACAAAUCAGUAUUAGAAAAUGUUCGUUUUAACAUCUAAAAAUUAAUUUUGAUUACCGAAAACUUAAUUUCAAACACCAUAAAUAUAAAAUUUCGACCAGUAUCAACCUGAUAAACCGGGUUAUGAUUGAAAAUAAUAGUUUUGAUCUAAAAUAGCUUAAAUCUCAAUUUUUAUCUCGAUUAACAUGGUUUCACCCAUAUAAAUCCGGUGGACUCAGUUUUGACUGAAAACAAUGGUUUUGACCCAAAAAUGCCUGAAACUCAAUUCUUAUCCCGGUCGACAUGGUUUACCUCAUAUUGACCCCAUGGACGCAGUUUUGACCUGAAACGGCAUGAAACUCAAUUUUCAUCCCGAUCAACAUGGUUUGGCACAUAUUGACCCAAUGGACUCGAUUUUGACCACAAAUGACAGGUUUGACAUGAAAUGGCCUGAAACUUAAUUUCUAUCCCGGUCGACAUAGUUUGACUCGUAUUGAUCCAAUAGGCUUUUUUUCAUGGAAAAUGGUGGUUGACCCGAGAAAAAUAUAUUUUUGAAUUUUAAGUUUUUUUCUUUGUUUUUUUUUGGAUUUUUUAUGAAUAAUAAAAAAAUUAUAUAACAUUUAAAGAAAAUUUGGAGAAUCCAAAAUUGGGUUAUUAGAAGUAUAAAGGCGUUUUUGUAUUUUCAUAUUUGAUACACCAGUAAAAGUACUGCAUUAUCCUUAUAUUUUUUUUACCAUGACUCCAAGGGCUUAUUUGUAAUUUCAUUGUGGUUUUGUAUAUUAUUAUUGUUUAGUCCCAAGGGUCUUUUUGAUUUUAUACAAACAAGGGAAAAAAUAAAAAAUAAAAAACUGUUGACGUGUGCCUUGCACGCGUCUAUCGCUUCGCCACCUUCUUGCAACACGUGCGACUAGCUCUAGUGAUUGUAAUAGAAAUUCCGCCGUGUCAUUUAAUUUGUUUCAGCAUCCUCUUUCUUUUUAAGUGAACUGUGUAUAGUGGUUUAACAUGGUUUGGCCCAGCUUACCAUUAAUUAAUCCAUGCAAGGCAGUGUUUGGCAUAUUGUCUAUACAUUGCCUACUUGUAGUCGAAUUUGAUUUUAUUUUUAUUUUUUUCUUUAAAGACUGCUUUUUAAUUUCCUUUUUUUGAUGGGGACAUGAUUUUUUCUUUAAUUAAAUCAAUAUACAUAGAUAAUGCAAUCUUGCUCUAAGCAAUUAUCUCAUUUAUAACUAUAUAAAAUUGUGCUUAUUUGAGGAAGAAUCCCUUUUGACAUAACUAUUGUUGCAUGUGUGCGGCGUCGCGGCGAGAAAUAGUUAUAAAUGAGACAAUAAGGUAAGCUGCAUUGUCUUAUUGUCUGAUAAAAUUUAAAGUUUUGUUGUGUUUUCUAGUUGUUGGUCCGUCUAUGAUUUAAAAAAAGUUCUUUUCGGUAAAGAAAUCUUUAUCUUAUUGGGAAAAACCUAAUCGUUCUAGCGUCAACAAAUAAUUUAAUAUCCGAAAUACGUCUUACGUAUAAAGUCGUAAUCCUAGAUGUUUAAAAGAAAAAAAAACAAAAUAAUUUUUUUUGAAAUAUUGGCCAGUUCUCAUGACUUUAAUAAACUGAUUAUUAAAACUAAAAUGCAUGCUAAAUUUUUUUUUUUAUAUAUGAAAAUAGAAUAUGAUUUUUUUUAUUAUAUAUAUAUAUAUAUAUAUUUAGAGAGACUUGGCCAUAUGCAUGAAAACUUUUAUUUUAUUUUUUAUUUUAUUAUUUGUUUUUAUGAAAACCAGGUAUUUAAUACCGGAUUUGUAUCUUUACAGUAUAAAAAUAAAACUAAUAGUGAUCGUAAAAGAUUUUUGAAAAGAUUUUUUUUGAAUUUUUUUUAUUUAUUUUUGGAGCUGGGCCCAACCCGGCCCAUUUGGCUGGGCUGGACCCAGCCAACCCCAGCGUGGUCACUGGCAUGGGCCAGUGACCACCUUCAAAGAGAAUUCCCUUGUUGGGACUUGAAACCGGGUUUCUCGGAUGAAAGCCAAGCAAGCAGACCAUGUAGACUGCAAGGCGUACUGUUUUCUAAUGGCACCAUAAUAUUUUUACCUGUACAUGAACAGGGCGAAGGUAAUUAAAUUACCUUCACUCUGUUAAUCAUCUUUGUUGCAGUGCGAGAAAAAAAGAAAACAAAACAGAGUAUUGCAACUGGUGGUUUCUGCCUUCUGGUGUCGGUUUUCUUAUGUUAUCUUUCUGUAAUUUACAUAAUAACAUGCAUCAUCUCAUUUUUGCAGGGAAACGGAGAAGGGCAUCGAACAUACCUGUUUUGAAAAGACGAAGACGAUGGUGGUGCUGUGUUCUCUGCUUCACCGUGUCCUCUGCUUCCGUCCGGUUUGUUUCUUUCUCUCCUUCCUCUUCUCUCCCUUGCUCACUAUUUCUCCACUCUCUCACUUUUCUUACGUUCAUCUCAGCUGUCACACUCCUUUUUUUUCCUUCACUGUAGCCUCUCUUCUCUGCGCUCUCUCCCUCCUCCCGGUUCAGUCUUCUUCUGCUGCUUUUAUAGAAGGCUUUGUGCUGGUAACGGCUGGCUUUGAUAACGAUUUGCAGAGGGAUUAUAGCCGUGAAACACGCCCCUUGAUGGCUCUAUUGCUAACGUCUCCUUCCAUUAUCGUCACUGAUUCACAGCUGUUUGAAGACCAUUAAUGGUGCAAACGGCGCCGUUUGGGUUCUUCUAAUUUGGCCCUUGAAUUUUCGCUGUUUUAUAAUCACACCCCCCGACAAAAUUGUAAUUGUGCCCCUUACUUUUAGCGCCUUUUAUGUUUUGGUCCUUUUUUUCGGAUUGUUUCAAUUAAAUUCCUAAUUGGCACUCAAACUUCAAUAAUUAUGCAAUUAAGCUUUUGAUUUGACCAAAUCAACUCUUUAAAAUUAUAAUUGGACCUCAAAACUUUAAUUUCUUCCGAUAAAAGCCUAAAUUGACUUUAAAAAUCAAUUUUCUUGCAAUCAAACCUUCUAUAAAUUCAAUUAAAUCUUGGAUAAAAUUUAAUUGAGUCUAUAAACAUUUGAUUUUGAACUUUUCUUUCUUUUCUUUAAAAGCAAUUGAAUUUUCCUUAUCCUCAGGGCUCUCGUCAAUAAAAAAUAUACUGUCAAAUUUUAACCUUUUGUAUUUUUAAACCUCCUAAAUCAAUUUUUUACCUUUCUUAGGCAUUCCAACAUCAUUUUCUUGCUUCUAUUAUUUUUUACUUUUUCCAAAUAUAUAUAUAUAUAUAUAUAUAUGUAUUUUCUUGAUUUUUGUGUGAGAAUCCAAAAAUAGGGGACAACAACUGCAAUCGUUUAUUCUUUGAAGAUUGAUCAAAUGGUUUUAAAAGUUCUAGGCCUAGAUGGAUUUAAUUACUGAUAAUUGGGAGUUAUGUAGAUUUAAAAGUUCAAGAAUAAUGUGAUUGUUCCUAAAUAUUAUAUUAAUGAUUCAUGUGAUUUUCUUUUCUUCCCUUUAGUUGACACUAGUCCAUUGCCCUAGGCUCCGGUGCAAGUUGGAUCGAUUUUUUUAAAAUAUAAAAAAUAUAAAAAAUAUAUAUGAAGGUUUUUUAUAGUGUUAUUAAAACUGAUUAAAUGAGUUAAUUUUAAAAACUUCGAACUCAACUCUUUACCUAACUCGAUUUAAAUUGAUCAAUUUCAUAGAUUCAAAUACAACAUUGAUAAUCAGUAAAAAUAUUACCUGAUUUUCAAAAAAACUUCAAAAUAAUAAUUUUUUAAAAAAAUAUAUUGAGAUAAUAACAAAUUAAAUCUACCUCGUUCUUCAUGUGAUCCUUAGAUUUAUUGAUUUAAUUUGCAUAAUAACAUUUUUAAAAAUUCAAGAAGUAAGGCUUGCAUAGAAAAAUGCAUGAUACAGCAACUGAAUUGAAAAGAUUAUUUAAAACUAAAGAAAAUUCGGGGUCGUCUAAGCGUGAUAAGUGUACCCAUUCAGGUUGAUCGUGGGCUCUUGAUUUUUAAGGGAUUUGGAUUAUCGGAGCAUAUACUAUUCCAUUCCAUGUGGGUACUAUGACAGAUUUUGUCUUUUUCUUUUUUCUUGAAAUUUUUACAAGAUAAUAAUGAUAGGUAUUUUUAAAAAAUAUAAUCAAAAAAAUUCAAUAAAAAAAAAUCACCCAUAAAUUAUAAAUCAUGAUCAAUCAUUUUUUAACUCUUAAAUUCAUCAAACAAUACAAGAUUAUCUAGAAUUAUAGGAUAUUAGCUGAUUUUAAUGUGUAUUUUACGGUGCAUUAUAUUUUUUAUAAUUUUUUUCUUAUAUAUUUUUAUUUUUAUUGUUAAUAUAUCAAAACUAUUAAAAAAUAUUAAAUUUAUAUAUUUUUAAAUGAAACAAAUCUAAAAAUAAAAGUUAUUUCACUCAUGAACACUCAUAGAAUUAGAAAAUCUGAAUUUUCAUAGUCAGAAAAUUGCAUUUUCUAUCCUGCGUAAAGCAUAUGCAUUUUUUAUCGCUACAUUUUCUAACUCAUAGAUUCAUUAAAUAAUAUAAGAUUAUCUCAAAGUUUAGGAUAUCAGCUAAAAUUAGUAUAUAUUUUAUAUUAUGAUAUAUAAUUUUUUUUAUAAAUUUUUAUUUUUAAUAUCAACACCUCAAAAUUAUAUACAUAUAUAUAAAAAAAAAGAUGAGAUGCCAGACUUUACUUUUCUUGGAGAUUAUAGAAAUAAAAUGUUAAAAGAGGAGUUCGAAUAGUUGACAAUAAAUUUUUAGGUUACUAUCUUGUAAGCUUCUUAUAUCUUUAGCCUCGCAAGUACUAAAUCUUGAAUCUUUAAAUGACAUGUCGGCUAAGUUGAAACCAUUGAUAUGCUAAGAACAUGGUUGUUAAACUUAGCGCGGCCUGGCGGGCCGAUUCAAAAUUUUAGGAUCCAAAACCUAAACGGGGAUGGGUUUUCAAAUAAAAACAAUUGACCUGCAAGUUAAAAUGACAACUUAGCAAUUUAAACUUUUUUUUUCUUUUAAUUUGGACAAAAAAUAUUUUGUUAAAAUUGUGAAAAAAUAAAAAAUAUCUUGUUGUUUGUUGAAAUUUGAUCCUUGAUUUUUUUACUACUAUAUGUUUUUUUUAAUCAUUCUUUUUCAAUUUUGUCCUUUAAAAUUUGAUUUAAUUUGAUUUUUAUAUUAAUUUUGAUUCUCAUGCUUUUGAUUAUUUUAUUUUUUUAAUUUUUCAUCAAUCAAAUUUUAUUCUUAUUAUUUUUUUAAUUAUUAUUUAUUUUAUUUUAAAUAAUUUAUGAGAUUUAUAUAUUUUUUUAAUUUUAUCCUUUUUUAAUGCUUUUAUAUUUCAGAUUUGGUCUCUAUUAUUUUGAUUAUUAUUUUUUUAUUUGAAAUAGUUUAUGAAAUUGAAUUUUUAAAAUUUCAUCAUCCUUUAACUUUUUUAUUUGUCGGAUUUGGUUCAUAUUCUUUUAAUAAAAUUAAAUAAAAUAUUAACAAGUUAUUUUUCAUGUCAUUUUUUAUAACAUAGUCAAGCACUAGAAAAUAUUUCUAAACUUAUUUUUCAUUACAUUAUCAAAUAUAUAAAAAAAAAAAUAACUCACUUUUAUGCAGUUCACUUUGUAUAGAAAUCACUUUCCAAAAUAAAAUUAUUUUUUGGUAGACAAACAUGGUCUAAGUAUAUAUUUGAUAGUACGGUGCAAAGUAUUUUUCAAAAAAAAAAAUUCAAAUAAUAUUGUUUUAUUUUUUUUACAUAACAAAUCCAUUGAAAAACACUUAAAAAUCAUUAUUUUAAUGAUUUUUAAGUGAAAAACAAAAUGGAUUUAACUGCAAAACAAACAAACCUAAAUCUAACAAUUAUGAUUAAAGGUUUUGGUGCUAGUAGUUUCGUAAUACAAACAUACAUGUCUUUAACAAACUCAAUUGACAAUGCCAAGCCAUUAAUUUUUAUUAAUUUUCAAAGUUAAUGUGGCAUUUAUAUCAUCAAGCAAUCCUCUUACAAAUAAAAGCGGCAAUAGAAAAAAUAAUCUAACUUCUAAAAUCAAAGAGUGAAGAAGAAAAUAAAACAACUAAAAUAUCCAAGAAAUCAAGAGAAAAAAAUAAUAACAAUGAGAUUAUAUAUUUAUAAGUCUCUCUUGAUUGGAUAAUACGCAUACUUUUCUUAAUAGUGAGAUUAUAUACCUAAUUUAAUAUCACUGUAGAUAAUGUUAAUUGCCUUCACAAUUUUUUCUUGACCACUACCAUUAUUAUCUUGAAUACAUAAAAAAAAAUGAGAAAAAUAGAAAAUAUAUACUAUGGUGAUCGUAUUUUAAUACCAAUCAUAGGGUGAUUAUUUUGCCAGGGCCUUAGUUUUAUAUAUAUAUCAAUUUUGAAUUGAGUUUUUAUUAAUAUUUAUGGAAUUUGAGACAAGGUAUCAUCCCUCUUAAUAUCAUGUGUCAUGCUUUCUUCGCGGUUCAUAUGUUAGUCAUGCAUUCUACUAGUAUCCUAACACAAACACAACUCUUUUAACAUUCAUCUACCUAUAUUUAGUUUCAAAUCAUCAAGGUGAUUUCCAAGAGGGCAACAUACAAAAAAAAAAAAAAAAACUAAUUCAAGAACAUGGCUACUCCUCAACCUAACCAGAUUCAACACUAUCCAAUUGGUGGGGAGCUAGAACAUUUAUUCACAAAAACCAUGACUCAAUAUGACAUGCUAGGUUUAGUUCUUGUUGGAGAUUCAAAAAACUUCUUAAAAACUCUACCAAAACCCAUGCUUGAUGAGAUUCGGAUCAAAGGACUAGAAAUUGAGAUCUACACACCACCAAGGAACAAGAUUUGGGUGGCAAUUUACUAUGAUAGGGCAAUCGAGGAUUUCAAAUUGGAAAAGAUUGCUUGGGCUGAAGUUCUUGUGAAAAGUGACCUCAAAGUUGGUGACAAAAUUGCUUGUUGGUCACUUUACCAUGCUGAUCUUGGUCCAAAUGGGAUCUUGGCUUUACUGAUUGAAAAGGUAACAAAUCAGUAAUUUUUUUUAUUGAUGAAUUUAAUAAUAAUUAUCAUUGUUAUGGGAAAAAAAGGAUUAGCUUAUAAUUAUUAUUUAUUUUUCCUGAAAAUAGGUUCCUAUUGACAUUGAUAAUGAGGGUGGUGUGUAACAAGGCAGGGCUGAAAAUGCUGGGGAUGGCAAGGAGCGAAGAGUUUGAGCUUGGUGCUAAUGGUGUCCUUUCUUUUCUUUUACGAGAAUAAAUGUUGAAGGCAAAUAGAUUUAUGGAGGAGUUUAUUAGUUCAAUACUAAGUUUUUAUUUGGCAUUUUAUUUGUUUUUGUUUUUACAAUUGUUUUUCAUCUAAAAAAAUAUUAAAAUUUUAAAAUAUUUUUCAAUAAUUUUUAUAUAUUAAAGUAAAAAAUAUUAAAAACAAUUUUGAAAAAUAUUAUUUUACUGCAUUUUCAAUUAUAAAAUAUUUUUAAAAAUAACAUAGACCACAAUACUAAACAUAUAUUAAUAAGCUGAUAUUCAAGAUUCUUGCAUUGGCAUUGAUUUUAUCUUGCUUUGAUGGUAUUUUUUCCUCUUGAACUAAAUCAAUUUUCCUUUACAUUUCAUAUACGGAUUGUCAUUUUUGGAUUGCAUAGAAAGGAUUUUUUUUGUUUGCCUCAUAAUCUUCCGAAUUCAAUUUAACCUAAAUUUCACAACAAAUAACUAGUUGUUGGUCAUACAAUUUUACCAAACAAACUCACUAUCAUCCACAUGCUAAUGACAUUGAUUACAUAUUGUUAAUUUGAUAGGAUACAACUAUAAGCUUUGGCAUUGAAUUACCAAUGUCAUUUAAUCUGUAAUGAUUUUUUAUAUAUAUUUCAAAAGUAUUUUUUUUAAAAAAAUUUAUUUUUUUCUUUACUUCAAAUUAAUAUAUUUUUGGUGUUUUUAGAUCAUUUUGAUGCGCUGAUAUCAAAAAUAAUUUUUUAAAAAACAAAAAAAAUAUUAUUUUGAUACAUUUCUGAGUGAAAAAAACAUUUUAAAAAGCAACCACAACCACACUACCAAACAAAACAAGUCAUCUUGAUAAAUUAUUGAUUGGAGACCCUAUUGAGAACGAGUUUAUAAUUAAUAUAAAAGUUAAGUCGAUUAAAACUUGAUUGAUUUGGUUGGGUCUUUUAUCUAUGACUUGAUUAAAAUUAUUUUUUUUUCAAAAGAAACUCAUUUUAUUUUUUUGAAUCUUGAAAUGAAAUCAUUUUAAAUUGACUUGAUUUCACCUGCACUUAACCUUAACCUGUAAACCAAACUUUAGAUAGAUCUAAUUUUAAUAAAUUUAUGCACAAGCUUAAUAAAGAACUUCGUCUUGGUUGAGUUUUACAUUAAACCAUAUAAAAGUUAACUCGAUUAAAAUUUGAUUGAUUUAGUAAGACCAUUUAUAAUCAUGUCAAAACUCAAUCUGACUUUAUUUUUUUAAAAUAAUAAUUUUUUAUUCUUAUUUUUAAAAAUAUUAAAAAUAACACUAUUUUAAAUUCACAUAUAUAAAACUAUCUAACUCAUAAUCCGAGCCUUGACUGGAUCAUGGAUUGCCGGUUAAAAAACUUUGUGCGAAUAUUCAAAUGAGGGACCAUCUCUCAAUAGAAAACUUCGAGGCCCAUUUUUCUAAAACUUUAUGGUAACCAAAUACAAAUAUCCAUAAAUUCAAGGGCCAUUCCCACAGCAAACAACAGAAAAUUUCAAAUUGAAUCUGCUAUUAUUAUCCCUUCAAACCCCAACCAAUAACCACAAGAUCAUACCAUACAAUACUCCACGCACCAACGUGUACGGUGAUUAACAACAACAAAACACUGUAUAAAACAAGAAAAACAAAACAAAACAAAGAUAUAUAUACAGAAAAAAAUCUGAUUGGCCAGCCCACCUUUAUAUUCAAGUUUCGCGGCAACAUCUCUCUUUCUCUCUCUAAAAGAGCCUCUCUUUUCCGUAACUUUGAAAACUCUCUUUCAUUUCUCUCUCUAAAAAACCCUUCUCUAUAACACAUAAACUUAAAGCUUGCAUUUUUCUCUCUUCACGGCCCUUUGUUUCACUGUAUGAUUUAUACCCAGAUAUCAAUUACUCUGAAUCUGUAAGUGUAUAGUCUCGGAUCUGUGAAUUAGGGUUUUUAGAGGAGUAAUUUUGAGAUUUUUGUUGGGGCUUUACUAAGAAAAUUUAUAUUUUUUUUGGUUUCAAAAUUUGGUUUCUGUUUUUUUAUUCGUUUCGUUGUUUUUUGAGGGGAUUUUGGAGAUGGGUUUUGAAUUGUAGCUUGAAUUUUAGUCAAAUUUGAAAUUUUGGGUUUCGGUGAUGUUUUGAAUUUGAAUUUCUUUUUUAAAUUUUGGGGGGUUUAUUUUUGAAUUAUUUUAGUUGUUUUCUGAAAGUCAUUUAAAAAAAAAUUCUGAAAAUUUGAAAUUUGGGGGGUCUGUUUUUUGUUUUUUGAUUGAAAACUGUGAUAUAUGGUAAUGACACUGGGUGGUUUUUUCCUUUCGAUUCUCUUUGGAAGUGUUUCCUUAAUAGCAUUGCGUAUUUUGUUGUGAUUCCUCUGUUUCUAUUUGCUAAAAUUGAUUUUUUUUUUCAUACAUGUAUUUUGCUUCUUUUGAUACUUUGAUAAAAUGAUGUGAUUUUGGUAAUGUUAUAAAAGUUGAAUUCUUGUGGUGGGUUUUGACUGAUGUUUUAAAUAUAAUCCGAGUGGGAAAAUAUUCUCCACAAUUAGUGCAGCUUAGUAAACUCUAACUCGAGUCUAAGUAUCCGAAAAACCAGAAAAAAAAAAAAGGAAAAAAGUUUAAUAUUUGGACUGUGUAUUAUAUUUCAAAUUCUGGGGUGGAAGAUCGUCUUGCUUUGCCAAGAGUUUUAUAUUUUUAUUAUUAAUGUAAUGUAUUUUGUGAAUCUUGAUGGUUAUUGAUGUCCAUGUUAAAGCUUUAAGCAAAUUGGUGUUGCUAAUUUGUUCAUUGAUUGUUUCAGAUAGAUAGGUCCUCCAUGGCCCCAGCAAGGAAAAAAAGUGUGAAUAAGCGGUUUCUGAAUGAGGUAUCACCUGAAAAAGAAGUCAAGAGUUCAGGAAAAAGUAAACAGCAGGCGAAUGGGGUGAGAAUUGGCUUUGUAUGUGUUUGUGUACUUACACCAGUUUUUUAAUGGUUUGAUUCAUUCUUUGUGAUCCAGCUGUUGGCUGAGUUAAAUUGCUCGUGGAAUUAUGUUAAGACUUGAUUUAUUUUUAUUCAUAGCCUUGUGGUUCAUUGAUCUUGAUAUAGAUAUGAUAGCAAAAUUGAGACUUAGUAUAUUUCUCUUAAACAAAUGGCAAAGAGUUUCCAAAGAACUUUCUUUGUUCAAAAAAUUUGUAAUGUAUAAUGAUAUUUUAAUGCAUUGAUAUUUUGCUUUGUCCCAGAAGAAGAAAUUGUCUGAUAAGUUGGGACCUCAAUGGAAGAAGGCAGAACUUGAACGAUUUUACAAAGCAUAUCGGGACAAUGGAAAGAACUGGAAGAAAGUAUGCCUUAUGUGUUAUCGAGACUCCUUUUCAUCAUUAUACUUUAAUUGGUUCUAUUCAGCAUGAUAAUUUUCCAUGAACUUUAAUUUGUGCAAAUUAAGCUCAUCAUACACUUUAAGUAUUAUCUUAAUUUUUUAUUGUUGUUGAUGAUCAGGUAGCUGCUGAAGUGCGCAACAGAUCUGUGGAAAUGGUGGAGGCCCUUUACAAUAUGAAUCGGGUACCUUGUGUUCAGCUAGUUUAACCAGUCACUAGUCUCACUGCUUACACGUCCUUCUUGUUGUUUCUGUCUUUACAGUUUUGUCAUACUCUGAGAAUUUUUUAUGUGGUUUUGUUAUUGGAAUCGGGAUCUUCUUAACCUUUGGUGUCAAGUGUCCUUAAUUGAACACAAUUCAUAUCUAAUUUGUUUAUGCUAUCGAACAUUUUUACUGGAAGAAUUACAAUUGGGUGGGCUUCCUUAGAAUAUGGUUAAGGACCUUAGCUCUUGGAAUUUUGAUGUGUCCAAAGUAGGACAUAAAGUCUGCUGUUUCUAUAAUUUUGGAUUUGUAGUCUAAAGCUUUUGAAUAGUUUGUGAACUUUUGAAUGUUAUAUAAGUUGCUUCUUAUUCGCAUGUCAUUCAACGAGGUAAUGACACCCAAAAUUUCAAGACAAAAGGUGGAUGUCAUUGUAAAAUUUUGGGCAUUGCCUUAGCAGUGCAAGAAGAGUGAUUCCAGACAACUUGAUACCACUUUUUGGCCCCUGGUUGGGCCUAUGUUAUGGGAUUGCAGAGGUAAUAUAAAAGCUUAAAAAAAAUGAUGGUAUAUUUGUUUUAAAGUUUCUUCAACUUGCGAAAGGAAAAUAUCGUCAGAAUAAGUAAUAAGUAUCCUGUGUUAAAUCUUGGUUGUUAUAUGGUAGAUGAAGCCCUAGUUAGUCUUGGGGUCCUUGGUUAACAUUGUUGCUCUUCCAUGUUCUAUAUUUUUUCAGGCAUACUUGUCUCUUCCAGAGGGAACAGCUUCUGUAGUUGGGCUUAUAGCUAUGAUGAUCGAUCACUAUAGUGUUCUGGUAUGAUUUCAUUUGACGUCUGGAAGUUCAACUUAAUUUCUGAUUGUCUUCAUUGUUCUUAUUUUUUGUUCUUGUUUCUCUCUUUUUUCCCUUCUGGGAAGGGGAGUUCAGGGAAGUGCAAAUUGAAAAUUUAAUUAUUCAGAUAAUUUUAGAUUUAUGGUAGUCAUGGUGUUUAUAGCAGACAUUUUGGAGAAUACUUUACAGCAAUUGACUGAAAAUGAGACAGAUAAUUUGAUGCAUUAUGGGUGUUCACAGUAAGAAGGGACCAUAAAUUUUGUUUUUUUAUCAUUAUUAAGUUGCAUAAUCUGAUAAUUAGAUUGCUACAGAAAACAUUUUAUAAGAUGCAUUUUGAUUUACCUAGUAGAAUUGCUGUAAAUCCUGAUUUUGUCUUGUUGUCUGCUGACAAAUCAAAAGCUGAUUGCUUGUAUCCGGAUUUUGAACUUGCAGGAAGCAAGUGAUAGUGAACGAGAAAGCAAUGAGAUGCCUGGAGUACUCAUGAAGCUUCAGAAACACAAGCGGCCAAAAGUGCUGCUUAGUGCGUCAAAAGAAGAUCCCCAACAUUCUCGCAUGGUUGGAUCAAAUGAUGGAUGCUUAUCAUUAUUAAAAAGAGGAUGUGGUAAUAUACUUUGCUUAUGGAAAACACAACUCUGGUAUUGUUUCCAGUUUUUCCUUUCUCCACUCUGUUAUGAUUUGAGGAGUACUUGUACUUGUUUUCCUUAAUUAGGUCUCCAACUUACAUGCAUUAGAUGGCUCAUGCAUUCCAGCUGUUGCUGUCAGUGUCUAUAUUUUUGUUGUCCAAACAUUCCUUGUCCUUCACUAUUUUCUUUUCUAAAAACUUUCAAUGAAUUUAAUCUAAUCACUCUUUUACCCAUAUUCUUUUAUACUUUUUACUGCAUAAACUGUAACCUUUUAUGGGGUUAUGCUAAUGACAUCUAAGUGGUUUAGUAAGAUACUAAGGUGGAGAGGCAAUUUCCACCUCCUGUCUUUGUUUAUUAAUGUAAUUGGAUAGAAAGCCACCAUUGUGAAAUAUCAGUAUGGUCCAAACUUUGUAGCAAUACAAACGGGAUGGUUCUUUCCCUUGUUUUUUGAUUUUUUAGCAGCAGAAUGAAAUAUCAAAUAUUGGAGACAAUGUUAUCUAAGACAGGAUAAAAAAGAAGCACACAGAAGGAGUCAUGCUUUGAUCCAAUUGAGUCAAAUGAGAUGAAAGUGAAAUCUAUUUCCUCAGUUGGAAUAGGGCUGAACAGAAAACUGUAUGAAUCAGAUGCUGUUACAGGUAUAGAAUUCCCCCCAGCGGUCAUCUACAUGGAGUGAUAUCCAUACCCUGCUAUUGAAAAUGAUGCAAAUCCAAUGGUUUUGAUGUCCCAAUACAAUUGUAUAGGGAUUGGAUAGAAUAGGCAACUAAUCUGACGCUUAUAAUUUUCUGUGAACUGGAAUUACAACAAUAAAAGAUUUAAUUUGUCUGACAUGGAAGUUCUUUUCCUGAGAUUUUUCCAUCAAGGUUUAGUAUUGAAUUUGAUUUGAUAGUGUGAUUAUGCAACUCAAUUUUGUUUUAUUUUUAUUUUCUUGCAUUGUUCCUUUCCUUUAUACUUCUAAUUUUCUCAUAAAUAUUUGAACUCAAACAGAGUAGUUAAUGCGUGAUAUAAAUGUUUCUAACAACAGCGAUGACCUUUUGAAGUGUUGUUUCCGAUUAAUUCAAAUUCAUAUUUAGGCCGUCCACUUCAUGCAGUUGGGAAAAGGACACCUCGCUUCCCUGUUUCAUAUCUGCGUAAAAAAGAUGAUGGAGAAAAUUAUGUUUCACCAAAGAAGAAGCGCAGAAUGUCAGAGAUCAAUGCCAAUGAUAAUGAUGAUGAGCAUGCUGCUGUACUUGCAUUAACCGAGGCAUUGCAGAGAUUAGACUCUCCUCAAAUGUCUCAAACACCCUGUAGAAGAACAGAAAAUAUGAAAUCAUCACCUGUUCAGAGCUGGGAUAGGAUGGUAUUUUACUGUAGGCCAUUUUUCCAUGGCUAUUGUUACUUUGGUUAUGCAAUAUCAUAACUUUCUGUCUUCUUAAUUGAAUUCUGCAGUCUGAAUCAUCUCCAGCAAAUCUUUGUGAUGCUUCCAUAAAUGAAAAUUGGUCUGAAAGUGGCAUAGGACGUGAAGGGCCUGAUCUUGCUUGUGUGAGGGAUGCAAGCUCCUUGGCGGAAAUGGAAGGUAUAGGUACUGUAGAAGUUCAUCGAAAAGGCAAGAAGUUCUAUGGAAAUAAAAUAAGAGUUGAGAAGAUUGGGAACAGUCAGCCUGAUGAUGGUGGAGAAGCGUGUAGUGGCACUGAAAAAGAGCAAAAGGCCAGCACUUUGAAGGGAAAAGUUGAAAUUGAGAUGUCAAAUGCAAAAAUUGAUGAGACCUUUCACCGGAGCCAAAGGAAGAGAAGCAAGAAACUUUUUUCAGAUGGUAAUUCUUUUCUUUCACACUUGAUCUUGAGUGUUAUGAAUUGGCAAAUCAUCUUUCCUUUUCAUGGGCAAGAGUUAUAUAGUCACUUCAUUGCAUGUUUCAUCUGAGAUCAUCAUUCGUUAAAUCAAAAGACUUUUUAGGAUUGCAGUUUCAUUUUCUUCUGAAGUUGUGUAUUAUGAAGUCUUUUGCCCUUGCAUUGGAGUGAAAUUUGUGCUACAUCUCCUAAGAAUUGUAAAUCUUGUUAUGGCCCCUGUAUUUUUUUCUCUGUUGACAUUUGUAUAUUUGAAGUUAUCUGGUUAGGUGCUUUGUUAGGGAUUUAGGAUUCAAUACAGCAAGUCUGCCCAAGAUAAUGGGAAGAUAUGGCUCUUGAAUUCAAUUCUCAGAUUACAAACUAAUAGACAACGAGGAUGAUGCUUAUAGUGGAGACUAUGGAGUUUCUGUCUUAAAAAUAAAUUUGUGGGAAACUCAGGAAAGUUGUUUCCUUUAAUAUGGCUCUAUUUAUAGUUAAUGCUUAGACCAUGUCCUGAUUAUUUGGAGUCUAUUGGAGGAUUAUCAUUCAGGAGGAUUAUUUGGAGAACUGUAAUGAGUGUGGGCUUGUUUUUAUAACUUCAUAUGCUUUGGAUUUUGUCUUUGAAGAAGCAACUUUUUGAAAGGUGAUUUCAGACCUGAUUAUCAACUCUUUUAUAUCAUUGAUAGCCUGGAUAACCUUUUUUAUUGUCAACCCGGCGCACCCAAGGUAUUGGAGAGGGUUCCUGGUUAAGUGAACUUAUCUCCUAUCACUAGAUUGGUGUGAUAUAAACUGUUGUUUUAUGAUGCAAUAUUUUCCCUCCCCUCCUCUUCACAUCCCGGCAUUUGGUUUGGUUGAAUGAUCAAGCCAUUCAAGAAAAUUCUACCAAUUAGCAUGGCUGGUAAAUCUCCCGGAAGAGUUACCAGAGACCUAGAACUGACUUCAACUUUCACCAAUGCAUGGGAUGGUGAAGUAGUGAUAAUCAUUGCAUAACCUGUUGUUGGGACAAAACUAGAGGGAAGUACACGUGACAGUUUUUAACUUGUGAAUUGAUUUGCUUCUCCUAGCUGUACUCCUUUUAAUUUUGUAGAAUGUUCAUGAUGUGUCAAUGCUAACCAACUUAUCCAACCAUUUGUACUCCCACUGCUGAUGUAUUACAUUUUCCUUAUUUAUUUGCAGAUGAAUCUGCUGACUUGAUUGGUCUUCAAACAUUGGCUCUUGUUUCUGCAAUGGAAUUUGGUAAAUGUUAAAUGCAUCUCUGGUUCUAUACAUACUUGUGUGAGAUGACGAAAUAUAUUGAAGUACAAUGAGUAAUUAAUUUAGUAACAUUGCAUCACUUGUCAAACAUCCCAUUUGCAUGCUGAAUUUUUGUACAAUAUUGCUUUGUUAGAGAUGAUAAUUUCAAGAAAACUUUACUGCUGAAAUCAUUCCUAGAAAUAUUUAUACUGAAAUCCUAAUGUAGAAUAUUAAUCAAUUUUGUAUUCUUCAAUUUCAGAUGAAACAAUCAAUUUUACAUUCUUCAAUUUCAGCUGAAACAACAGAUCUAUACUUUUUUCUUAUUUCACUUCCUAUUUCCCUUGUUUCUUUUAUCUUUGGAACACACACACACAAAAGGGACGAGGAGGAUGUGUAAGGGAAGAUAAAAAACAGAUUAUGUUAUCAAGUGGACUGUGAUGUCUACUUCAUGCAUUCGGUAUUUUGACGUUGCAUAUUAGGUAAAUAUUAAAUGUUCUCCUGCAUUUUCUUAUGGUUCCAUCUUGCAUUUUGUUUCUGCAUUGAUUUUUUCUAUGAAGUUUUUGCUUCUCUAAAUGAUUGUAAUCAGAUUUUGGCAAACUGAUUAUUUUCUUUUAUUAAUAUAAAAGGAUUACAAUCUAUUUUGACAUACUUUAUGCUUUGGUCUACUCUGCAUAUAGGUCUUAGUUUGGUAGCUGAGGUGCUAUUCCUUUUCAUAUGUGCUUAAAAUAUAAAUCCUUCUUUUUUCUCUUUUAAUGUUUGUUUUAGAAUCAUCUUCCCUGUUGGAUGAUGAAAGAACCACCGAAACUGGGGACGACAAGAGUAGCAUACCUGAAUCUGCAUCUACUAGUCAUCAUAGAGAUAAAACUAAAUUCUCAAGGCAGAAAGAAAAGGCAACAAGUGAAGUUGAGGGUACAACCUCAAGAAAAUCUAAGCUUGGAAGAUAUCCACAAAGUUCUGCUAAAUCAGUCUCUGAAGCAAAUAAACGGCCUCAGUCCAUCAGCAAUGAUAUGCUGAAAAGAAAACGCGAGGCUUUGGUAGCAAGGGUAUACCCAUUUGUUCAUUUAACUCUUUCAUUCAUUCAUUAAUACCUGUUAGCAUGCUUUGAUUUAUCGGUUGAAUUUCCCUUGCAAUUUUGAUACACAACUGUUAUUGAUUGCUUCAGUUUAGGUGUAUUCAUCAGGUCCCAGCAAAUGAAAGUUAGUUUUUCCCUCUACAUAAAUGGACAUGUGAAUGCUUGAAGGCAUAAACAUGUUUGGAAUUUGUUAGAUACUAGUGUCGCUGGUUAUUCCCUUGCUCUUUCCUUUUCUCUCUGGUCAUAAUUGGUGUUUGACUCAAUUCCAUAUGAACCCUGGCACAGGUUCUGGAUGAAGAGGAGAAUACAUCUGUGGUUAAAGGAAAACGCAGUGCUCAAAUUUCUUCUCCUUCAAAACAAUUGAAAUCAUUAAAAUUGCCAGAUGGUUCUUUCAGUGGUGAUCAGAAAACUAUAGUAAAUGAUCUAGCAACAUCAACUGAACAAGUUCCUGUUGCAAGCCAAGUUAUCUUACCAACGAGAAAAACAAGUAGACGCAAGAUGGAUCUAAAGAGAGCAAUGAUUCCAAAGGUGAACGUUCUGAAGAAUCAAAUUAGUAAAUACUCCAUCUCCCUACAAGAUGGAGCAACCCAUCUAAAGGUGAAGUCCUCCAUGUGUAAUUCUAUUUAUCAUAGUUUACCAAUUAUUAGAGUCUCAUUUACAGAUGUUCUUAUUGGUUUCUGGAAUUACAGGACAAGCUUUCUUGUAUGUUAUCAUCUCCUAUGGUUCGCAGAUGGUGCACAUAUGAAUGGUUUUACAGUGCAGUUGACUACCCUUGGUUUUCUAGAAUGGAGUUUGUUGAAUAUUUGAAUCAUGUUGGACUUGGGCACAUUCCAAGGCUGACUCGAGUAGAAUGGGGUGUCAUAAGAAGGUAUGUUUUGUUUUUCAAUCUCUGUCAAGCAUAUUAUAGCUACAUUCAUGGAGCGUAAACUAAUGUAACUUUCUUCUUUAUGCAGUUCUCUUGGCAAACCUCGGAGGUUUUCUGAGCGUUUUUUACAUGAAGAAAGAGAGAAACUCCAGCAAUAUAGAGAAUCUGUGAGAAAACAUUAUAUGGAGCUUCGUACUGGUUUAAGGGAAGGACUUCCAACAGAUUUAGUAAGACCUUUAUCAGUUGGACAGCGAGUAAUUGCUAUUCACCCCAAAACAAGAGAACUUCAUGAUGGAAGUGUGCUCACCGUGGAUCACGACCGGUGCAGGGUUCAGUUUGACCGUGCUGAGUUAGGAGUUGAAUUUGUCAAGGUAAUUGCAUUCUUGAAUUUAUGUGUGUUAUAUUUCUUACUUUCAUGUGUUGCUUACAGUUAUUCAGAUUUUGUUAUUUGUGUUUUGCUUUUUUCAGUGGCAUAAAUAGUUUGCAUUUGAAAAGAUCUUUUGGAAGUUGGAACAAUGUGAAAGACUCGAAUAUUCUAUUAAGUUUUGUUAGAAUUUACUUAUGCUGUGCUGAGUCAGAAAUUGGCUUCAAAUGUUAUGCUCAUGGUUCAUUGGUUUGUAAAAUAACGAGCAGCAAUCAAUUUGGUUGCCCUCUAUGAAUGGUGCCCCAGACACCUUACGACAUCUUAGUUUAUCAAGCGAAAAAUGAUCAAUUUCAUAGUAGUUUGCUGUAAUGCCAAUAGUCUUGUUGACUACAAAGAUGAGUGGUUGUAGCCCAUAACAUGGGUCAUACUGGUUCUGCUGCAAGUCAUUGGUUACACAAUUUCUGGUUAGUACUUAUGACUUAUCGGCUGGGAUUAUAAAGCUUUCAUGGUCUUUAAUCCUCCCGAUGUAUGAGCUUUUGUGCUUCUAUAAGCCAUUUGUAAUUGUUAGGCAGUUAAGAGCUAUUAAAUUACUUCUAUUUUUUUGGGAAGUGUAAUUUAGCAAAUUUCAUGUCCUAAUUGUUAAUGAAUUGUCUCCAAACAGUCUUGUUUAGUAAAGUAAAAUUUCUUCUUAAGAAUUUAUCUGAAUUUUGCUAUUGGUUUGUUUCCAACUUGUGCCUUUCUUCUACUUUUCCUCUCAUGAUUCAGUCUCUAAUGAUUCAUCCAUUUUGUUCCCAAGUCAUGUUGAGAAGGAAAUAUAUUUUCUGCAGAAUUUAUUCUAGAAUAGACAUCUCCUCCAUUUAUUUUUUUCCUUUAAAAACUAGCACAGUCGUCUCUCCUACUUCAGAACAAUGACAAUAAAUAUUUUACUGUAGGAUAUAGAUUGCAUGCCUUCAAAUCCGCUGGAUAACAUGCCAGAAGCUCUUAGGAGACAGAAAAUCUCUGUUCUGCCCAAGGAACUGCUAGUGAAUGGGAAGUCAAACAUUGGAGAGUUCACUGCAAUUAAAAAACUAAGGAAUGCACAGAGUCCCAUGAAUGCUUUGAUGAAGCAGGCACAAGUAAGAAUAGCUAUCCAUUAAACUUCAGAAUAAUGGUAUUACAAAAUUUGUUAAUUUCAAGCACUAUGAUUACUUUUUAUUCAGGUUGAGGCAAACCAUGCCAACCUGCUUGCCAAGGCAACAUCCACUGACAUUGUCAUUGCACAAGGAGCCUGUGGUCAACCUUCUAGGGUAUCACAGAUCCAACUGAAGGAAUAUGAUAUUCGAGCACUGUCUGAGCUGAGUUGUGCUCUUGAUAAAAAGGUACAAGAUGCAGUUAUAUGCAACCUGUUACAUUCAGUUGAACAACCUGCAAUACUUGUGAUGCUCAGUUAUGGCACAGAUGUUUGUCACUGUCUGCCAUUUUAUAGGGAGGAUUUGCUUUUCUUUGGUCUAUGAUUUAAUUCUGCAACACUUCCGGUUCUGGCUAAUGUUCCUUCCAUUUUCAGACUGUCCUCAUUAUUGUCUUUUGGGAUUUGGAUUUUAAAUUACAUGCCACCGAUUAUGCUGGCUAGGCAUUUCCUUUGGAAGAGCACAACAUAAAAUCAUAAUGUGCACUCACCAUUUUGGUCUCCUGGCUUAUGCUGUGCUAGCAUUUUUAUCUUUAAUACUUGAUUCAACACUGUACUUCUUCAUGAUCUUGUAUACAAAUGGAGUUGCCUUGGAUUUGCAUCAAGUUUGUGACCAUAUUUUUCCCUGUUUUAUAAUUAUAGGAAUUGUGGUUGAUGGUGCUUAAAAACACAAAUAAUGAUGUAAUGGAAAACCCAAAAAAUGGAGAUAACUCUUUAAAAGAUUCUGAACCUUUCAAGAAGCACUUGCCACAGUACUUGUACAGCUCAAGGAAGCCAGUGGCCAGUCAUGUGCCUUGCUUAUAUUUGCACUCACGCCGUAUAUGAUUGCAUGUUCACUUUCAGAUUUGUGUGCCGCAAUCUUGAUUCAAACUCUAAUCACUUUGUAUAUCUGACAGGCCUCUUCUGUUUUACUCAAUUUGAGGCAGCUUAAUACUUAUAUCGGAAACAAUGUGCCUGCUUGGCUGAAACCUCCAGCCAAUUCCUGUUUCUCUGGUAUGCUAAGACCGCAUGAUAAUUCUUGUGUUUCUCAAGAUUCAGGAUCUGCUGUUCUCGAGAUUGUUAGAGGUUUGAGAUUAAAGGCACAUACUAUGGUAGAUGCUGCUGUCCAGGUAUUCACAUUCAGUCUUCUUGCUCUCCUCACUCAUCCAUGCCUGCACACCGAUCUGAAAUGUGUUUGCAGAAAUUCUGAAUGUAAUCAUUUUUUAACUCUGCUAUUACUGAUGAAAGUGGUUCUAUGAUCCCUUAAUCAUGACCAUCCAUUUAAUCUUGAAAAAAAGUUCUGUGGUUCUCAUACAUUAUAUCAAUAUAAGAUUGAUGGUUCUUCAAUUUCUCUAGCAACACAUUAUAUACUCGUUGGUGAUUGGUGCUGCAGACUGAGCCUUUUACGCAACCCAUUAGAUGGAACUCAGCAAUUCCUAAGUUGGGCCUGUUGGGAACCUUUUUUUUAAAAAAUAUAUUAUAUUUUGAGCGAACUCAUGUUCAAGUCCUCUUAGAUACUUUAUCCGGAGGUUCAUUGUCUUAUAUCUGCUGGUUGCUAGUAAUAUAUCUAGCUUGAUGUUCUCUUCAUUAUAGAAUUAACCAGAGGCAUGUAUCCAUUAUCUAGUUAUCACUUAGUGAUGCAAUACCUAUUGCAGGCAAUUUCAUCCAUGAAAGAAGGGGAAGAUGCCUUUGCGAGAAUUGGAGAGGCAUUAGAUUCUAUGGAUAGAAGUCAUUUGGGAUCAGAAUCUAGGGCACAAAUGAUCAGGUCCCAGGAGGAGGCCAAUACCGGUUUAUGCCUUCAAAAUCAGUUGAUUCCCAGCACACCAGAGUCUCAGGUUAACUGCAAUGUAUCUGGUCCUCAAUCAAAUGAUUCUGAAAAGAUUGAGACAGCAAUUCCUUCAGAGCUCAUAUCAUCAUGUGUCGCUGCUUUGCUCAUGAUACAGGUAACCUGGACAUUUUUAACCACCUUGCUCUCUUGGACAGAAAAUGUCCACUCCCGUUGAUUUCCUAUAAUAUCAUGCUCAUCAUGUUUUAAUAAUACGCAGACAUGCACUGAACGACAGUACCCCCCAUCUGAUGUGGUCCAGAUAAUUGAUUCUGCUGUUACUAGCUUGCAUCCAUCCUGUCCACAAAAUCUGCCAAUAUAUAGAGAUAUACAAAUGUGCAUGGGAAGAAUAAAGACGCAAAUACUGGCUCUAAUACCAACAUGAAACUGCUGCGCUCUACUCUACCCUACCAUCAACCCCUUGUAUAUAUGCUGUUGGAAUCUUGGUUUCAGCUUCAUUUCCCAGGAUCCACUAACCCCUAUUCAGCAUUAAUUUUUUUUUAGGUUACUGCUAAUAGUGAUCAUUAAUCAUGAGUUAAUAAUAUUUCUACAAGCUAGUGUAGUUCUUCCCCACCUUUAUUUAUCUAUCAAAUUAUUCCCCCGCUUAACUAGAAUGAUGUCAUCUUCAAUGAGGAAAUUUUGUUUUUGGUUUUUUAUCCAUUUUGUUUCAUUCGAUCAAAGAGAAUAGAAAUUGUUUCUAGAAUUGCUGUUUAAUGCAGAGUAUUUUCUUGAGAAGUUCUCCGUUUCAUGAUCCACUGGUAGAACACAUCCUGCAUGGUGGUUUGUGCAUGGACUGCCUGCCUCAUAAUGAACUGCACCGUCUCAUAAGUAUACGGAGAUCAAGUAAUUUGAAUGAUAAGGCUUGCAACAGCGCAGUUUUCUUGCAAAGCCGGCCUUGUAAUUACGGCCAACAGUACUGUUUUUCAUCAUACGUCAGGUCAGCUUUAUAAUGAUGUUUUGGAAAAAAAUUUUUAAAAAUUCUUGAAAUUGGGUUAUCCGGUUUGGUCUGUCAGUUUGUGUUUAAAAAGGUUAACUUUCAAACAGGUUUAAAAUAAAAUCUAGGGCUAGGCUUUGAUUCAAUCUGCAAGGCCGGUCGAGCUAAACAAGGUUCAAAAUAAUUAGUCUUCUGUUAAGAGAUCUGCAUACCGUGAUGAUGAAUGGUAGAUUCUUCCAUUAAUAAAUUUCCCAUCUGAUCAACUGUUUCCCUCGUACCUUGUCUUUGUUAGUUAGAGUCCAUGGAAUGUUUUCUCAGCAGCUGUGGUAAAAUGUAGAUGAAGCUCUUCAUUUUCAUUUUUCUUUCACCAUAAUCGGCCAAGUCAAUCCCUCGUCUCAGGCUAGAGACCCCUCAAUCCAUGUUACUUUCCUCGCUAAUAUGUGAUCACUUUCAAGCUGAAUUCAUCAAUUAAACUCAUCAUGUUAAUGAGAUUUAUUAAUAUCGACAAUUAAUUUUUAAAAAAUACAAUAAAAAUUGUUAAUUUAUUUUAAAAGAAUGAGAUAUGCUAUGAUAUCAAGAAAAAAAUAUCUUGAUAUCAAAUAAGAAUUUAUCCAUAAAAAAGAUGGCAUUCAAAAUCAUUUUAAUCGUGUUGUGAUUUUCAAAAUGAAAAAUGUAUAUUGUAAAGAAGUCUAUAUCUAAAUUUUAUGUGUUAAAAAAAAUAUCAUGAAAAUUAUUAUCUAUUGUUUUUAUUAUUGUUGUCAUUAUUUACAUGUAGAUGUUAUUUGUUAUUUUCAGGUUUAUCGAGUCACGUCAGGAGUGAUUUUAGUUUAAGUAUCUUUUGGUGUGUAAUUAUAUUGUCAUUCGAAACACUUAUCUCCUAAACUUAAAAUGUUGUAAAUUCAGAUUUAUGACUUUAAUUUAAUGAUAUACUUUUAAGUACCUACUUUAACCAUGCAUGUUUAUUGUUGAAAUUUGAUCUUUCACUUGAAUUUCAUUAUAUAAUAUUAUUACACAUGAUAUAGUUUAUGUAAUGAUAAUAUAUAGCAAUUGAGUUAUGUAUUUUUUUUUUUUUGUGAACUUUAAUUUUGUAAUAUUAUUAAAUAAGAUGUUUUAUGUUAAUGAUGAUGAGUUUGGUUGAAAUCCAGGAUGAUUGGAUCGUUAUGUUUAAUUUUUUUGAAAUAAAAAAAAUUGAACAUGAUACUAAGCUCGAACCAUGUUGGUUCAUGCUUGAAGGGCUAACGUCGUUAAUAACGAUGUUUUGAAAAUAUAAAAUUAACUUGAAAAAAACAAUUAAUUGAUUAUUAAACUUGUUUUAAAAUUAAAAAUAUCAUAUUAUACCUAUAUUAAUUCCUAAGAACUAGAAAACAUAUUGAACUAAUGGUUAAAAUCCAAGCGGAAUGAAAAAAAAAUGAUGCUAACUUCACCAAAAACGUGUUAUUUUUUAAAUUUUUUUAAAAAACAAAUAUUUAUAAACACGUAUAUACGUAAAAAAAUAUUUAUAAGCACAUGAAUAUGAACACUGAAGCACCGUAAAAAUACCUAGAUUAUGAUUGUUAAAAAUAUGUUUUAACUCGUAAAAUUAUUUGAUUUUACAAGUUAAAAUAAAAAAUAUAUUUAAAAUCAAGAUUAAAACUCAAAAACUAGUAAAAUGAAGUUGACUCCAUCAAAGUCACAUGAAAACAGGCUGACUUAGAAAAAACGUAAAAAACGGACUGUGUUAACGAGUUAACUAAAAUUUUCACUUUCACCACCGUUUCACCGUGAGUUUGUCAAAAACGCAGAGUUGCAGACAAUUAGAAAUGCAAAAUUGCAAAUGCUCCUUUGACUCAGCACCACUGCACCGCAGCACCAGUGACCAGUGACCACUCUCUUUCCAAAUUCCAAGUCCCCGUCUCCCACUCUCCCAGACUCCCAGUCUCCCCGACUCCUUUUCCCUUUCCCCUUUCCCCAGCAAAUUAAAAAAUCACACUCCCCCGAUCCAGAGCGUUCAAGGCGAGACGAAGGUAAGAAUUGAUUUCCAAUCCCAAGCUUUGUUUUUUCUGUCUAAUGGUGCUGAUUAGAGACAAAAAUUAUCUAGGAAUUCUGUGCUGCAUUAUCUAGGAUUAUCUAGGCUUCUGGGUAUUCUACUAUUACUUUGUUUGCUGCUGGAGUGCUGGGUAUUUUUUCGGAGGGGGAGUUGUGCUGCAUUAUCUAGGAUUAUCUAGGAUUCUGAAUCUGUGUUUGAUCUUACUUGCUUUGGCGUUGCAGAUUCUGCAAUUUUGUAUAGACAACGAAGCAUUCCAGCCAAGAUUGCAUUCUUGGACUGCCAUACUUUAUUUUCAGUACUGGGACACAAGAAAAGCCUGCUGCAUUCUUGUAUGAACGUGGAAACUCCUCGUAAGUUCACUGCCAAGGCACUUCCAUGGAUCUGGUUUUCUUUUUCCAUCAGUAGCUUUUUUCCUGUUUGUGUUUUUAUCCAGUCAAGUUCAUUGUUUUACUAGCUAGUAGGGCCUUGAAAUAUUAUAUUCUCGUUGAAAUUUGAGAGUCCAAGACGUGUUGAUGAAAUGCAUGCAUCUGUUGAUAAGCAUGAAAAUUUUCAAAUGUGAAUGAAAGAAAAGAAUGUGUGUGUGUGGCACCUGCCUUAGAUCUUUUAGAACGAAAACCCCAGAUCUUUUAGAUGUAUAGGUAAUUCCACGUCAUUUUUGCUGGUGUGCAAAUAUUAAAAGAAAGUGCAAAAACUUCACUUGUUGAUCAUACCUGACAACACAAUUUUUUUCUCUCUUGCUUCUUGUGCCAGGUGAUUUUUAGCUGCUCACUUGCUCACUCUCAGCAGUAAAUCUACUGUUCCUCUCCAGUGCGACCAUGAGUGAGCCCCCACCAUACCCGCAAAUUGAACCAACUACCUUCGACCUAAUUGCUGUGGGCACUGGUUUAGCAGAAUGCAUUGUUGCUGCUGCAGCUUCUGCUUCUGGAAAAACUGUCCUUCACCUUGACACUAACCCUUUCUAUGGGUCCCAUUACUCCUCUCUCUCGGUCCCGGAACUCACAUCUUUCCUUAUUUCCAAUUCUACACCUUCCUCACCACCAUCUUCCACCUCAAUCACAACUGACAGCCUUGAUUACUCGAUUGUAAAUCUCACCACUCAGCCGGUAUAUUCAGACGUUGAAAUUUCCUGUUUUUAUCCUGAACUAUUGGAAGAAAACUUACGGAAGUUCAAUUUGGACUUAUGUGGACCAAGGGUGUUAUUUUGCGCAGACAAGUCAAUUGAUCUUAUGUUAAAAUCUGGAGCAAGUAAUUAUGUGGAGUUCAAGAGUAUUGAUGCCAGUUUUAUUGGUGAUGGGAAUGGAAAGUUAUGGAAUGUGCCAGAUUCCAGAGCUGCCAUAUUUAAGGAUAAGAGUUUGACUCUGAUGGAAAAGAAUCAGUUGAUGAGGUUUUUCAAGCUGGUGCAAGGGCACUUGGUUGCCACAGUGGCGGCGGGUUCUUCUGGUAAUGAUGGGAAUCAUGAAGAGGAAGGUAAGACGAAGAUUUCAGAUGAGGAUUUGGAGAGGCCAUUUGUUGAGUACUUGUCAAAAAUGCGGUUGCCUCCAAAGAUUAGAUCGUACAGACUGCUGUUGCCUUUCUCUAGCAGUUAGCAAGAGUUUAUUUGUUAUUUGUGCGUUUUGUUUCCCUGUUUGGUCUAAAGUUUACUGGAUUUUGGUUAUCUCUGCUUGUCUGCAGGAUUAUUCUGUAUGCUAUAGCUAUGGCAGAUUAUGAUCAAGAUGACAUGGGGGUUUGCCAAAAUUUGCUCAAGACUAAAGAUGGAAUAGAUCGUUUGGCUCUAUACCAGUCAUCAGUUGGGAGGUUAAUUCUUGUUUAUUCUGUUUUAUAGUUAAGCAGUUAUUCUCUGGUUUAAAAUUUAGGUGGGUGCUAUAGAGCUGCACUUGCGACUUGUAUGAUAUCUUGAUCAGAAACACAUAUUGCGUUAACUACAAGAUUAUAUUAUUUUUCCUUCCAGUAUUGAACACCACAGAAAGUGUAGGGUAGGAGCAGAUAAAGAGGGAAAAAAUGUUUUGAGUUCUAGUUCUGUACUGGCAACUAAAAAUCUAACCUUGAUUUAUGGCUUGGAAUGUUGUAAUAGUUAAGCAAUUUACAUCGAUUUGCUUUAAGUUUGUUGUUUAUAAUUCUUACUCCUUUCAGGUUUACAAAUGCUUCCGGGGCCCUAAUCUAUCCCAUUUAUGGUCAAGGGGAACUGCCACAAGCCUUUAGCCGCCGCUCUGCUGUCAAAGGUUGCAUUUACGUAAGUUCACUGAAAGAAACUGUGGCUUCUUUCUCUUGGUGAAAUAUGAACUAUCAUUUUUGGUUAAUAGUUAAAUCUGAUAUAUUCUGUUUUGUCCAUGUGUGUAAGUAACUUGUUCCUAAAUGUGAUUGACACUGUUUGAUCUGUUCUGCUGCUUUAGAUACUUGGGUGUUAUUUGAUUUUCACAAGAAUGGUCACAGGCGUACUUGUGCUAUUUUUUCCUUAUAUUUUGCGGGAACAUAAAAAAAUUGCAAAUAAUGUUUACCUAAUAUACUAUAGAACUUUGUUAUAAAGUGAACAAAAAGAGUUGUUGCUUUGUCAAGCUAACAUGCUCUCCUGCUUUCGAGACUUCUGUCAUACAGGUUCUGCGAAUGCCAGUGACUGCGUUACUUAUGGAAAAGGUGCUAAAAUAUGCUUAUAAUGUUUAAUACAUGGACGACAUAAAAUGAUACAGUCACCUGUUAGGGCAAAUGAAUUAUCCGUUCUUAACAUUUUUUUCCAGGAUAGUGGGAGUUACAAAGGUGUUCGAUUGGCUUCUGGCCAGGACAUAUUUAGCCAGAAGCUGGUUCUGGAUCCAUCCUUUACACUUGCCUCACCAUCAACCUGUCCAUCGGAUCUUCUGCAUGAAAGUUUGAACUUUUUGAGCACCAGAGAUGUUAAAGGGAAGGUGGCCAGAGGGAUAUGCAUCACACGAAAUUCCUUGAAGCCAGAUACAUCAAAUCUUCUGGUUGUUUACCCCCCUCGAUGUAAGAUCAGCAUAUAGUUUCAUUUCUGUUCCUUAUUGAGUUUAUAGGAAUCAUACGGCUCAAACUUUCUAUCCCUUUUGUCUAGCCCUGUACCCUGAGCAGAUUACAUCAAUUCGAGCUCUCCAAAUAAGUGGCAACUUGGCUGUUUGUCCUUUGGGCAUGUGAGUUACCACCAGCCACUUUCUUUUAUGUUUUUACUUUCCUUGACUUCUGAUUCUACUGCUGACUACUUGUUAGGACUGCAUUUGUAACAUGAGUAAUCAUGCAAGAUCAACAUGAAAAAUAUUAGGGAGACCUUGUCCUUGCUCACCCCAUUCCUGGAUUUAUGUGGACUCUUUUGGAGAGGGUUCAAAAUAACUAGUACAUUAGAAAUACAUAUAUUAACCGUGACAAGUUGGAAAGGUAGCUAGUAGAAAUUUCGAAUCUCAUUUUGUUGUCUUUUGAAACUUUUGUAGUGCUAUUUCUAUUUAUCCUUUGAAAUUCUGCUUCAAUCAAAAGAUUUUUGAGGUCUAGGAUUAUAUCUAGCGAAUGUCUUGUAGAUCCUGCUUGGGAUGAAAACCUUUACAAGGAGAUAAUAGACAUCUAAUUAUAUUCUUCAAAAUUUUUCCACAGCCGUAGCAUCAUUAAGGUGAUAAUAAUGGACGUCUUAUUCUUUCAUUGAGAACUACUACUUCUCAUAGUACAAUAACCCCCUGCCUCUCAAAAGAAUAUGAGAUCCUUGAGUUAACAAUUUCUCUGAUUAUUUGUUUCAGGUUUGUGCUCUAUCUUUCAGCUUUGUGUGAUGAUGCCAUUCAAGGGAAGAGGUUACUAAAUGCGGCUAUGAAUGCCCUUCUGACUUUUCCUGAUCCUGUAAAUUCUGAAAGCAGUUCCACAGUUCAGAGUGAGACUACUGAAGAGAAACCCACUGUCAUUUGGAGCGGGUUGUAUAUGCAGGAGAUGUCUACGGUGCUUCACAUCUUUAACUUUUGUCUCUUACUAUUAGCAUCUCAUGUGUGCACACGCGUGCGCAUAUGUGCUCAUGCUCACAAGUGGGGGGUUAUUUGAAUUCGUGUUAAGAACUUGCGGUUUAGUUUUAUCUUAUGUCUUGGUAGUUUCAAGUUAAGCUUACACUAAGUUCACAUGUGGGGCUUAAUACAUAGGGUGCCUCAUCAUAAACGCUUAAGGUUACUUCUCUUCUGUCACGUGCCUGUCUAUCUGGAGUUUUAGAACCUGAUGGCUGCUGCCCUGGUGUUCCCCUCUUCUUCCUCUCUUGAAUCUCCCUCCCUCCCUUCAAUUUAUUCUCUAGAUUUUAUUGAAUUUCUUCCUUGCAUGUUCCAGCUGCCUCUAUUUUCUUCUUCCUGUACUUGUUUUGGGUAGUUGGAGUCCAUCAAAGCUGUCUCAGUACGUCAGUUAAGAGUCCCUUUAGUUCAACUAUGAGCUGUUGCUCAAUGAUCUCCUGCUUCAUCUUUCUUUUUUCUGCUAGUGUCAUCAGUCAAAUCAAUCCCCAACUCACAUUAGAGACCAGCCUCGAUUCAUUUUAACUUUCUUAACUAGAUCCUAUGAUCAUUUUUAAGCUGAGUGAAUGGAUGUGCUUUAAUGGUUUCAAUAGGUUAUAUUAACUCUUGCUUGCUUAAUUCCUGUAAAUCUAUGACCUUGAGUUGGAUUGACUUUCUUUUAUUAAAUGUUGCUUGAGUAAAUAUGUAGCGUGGUUGUUAUUGCUGUUUUUUUUUUUUUGGACCUCCCAGUUUAGUAGCAGUCUAAGCAAUGCUUCCUUUUGCUCUGAAAUGGCUAUCAGGUGUAAAUCUGAUACUUUAUAACUAUUGUUGCUCAGAUUUAGGGAAACUCAGAACUGGUGCAUGAUAGAUUGAUUUUUUACUGUUUGAACAAGAAACAUGGUGCUGGAUGUGUAAUUGUUUUUGGAAAGUGAGGUAUAUAGAUGUGCAUGCAUUUAGGUUGAUAUUGGUAUGCCAUCUCUUUUGUUUCAGAGUCAAUUUGAUUCUAUCAACUUUGCUUCCAUGCCCGAUGGAAAUCUGAAUUACAACGAUAUAUUAGAUGCAGCUUUGAAGGUAUGUUAUCCUCUAUUUAACAUUUAUGAUGCUUCAGGUUCCAUUAACCUAAAUGCCUAAUUUCUGUAUAUCAUCACUUAAGUGUAUUCCUGUUUUCUCUUUUAUGUCCCAUCCAACAAGAUGUUAAAUAGGAAAAUGAAUGUCAGUGAUUCAACAACCACAAGCCAAUAUGCAUGCUUACUAGAUCACAUUGUAUACUCACAGAUGUCUCUCGUUGAUUGUUUCAUGAUCUCUUUUGUUUCCUCUUGCCCGUUAUGUGAUUAGACAUCGUUCAGUGACACUAGAGAGUUUUUCAUUCUUUUUGGCGGACUGAGAAUUCAAUACUAGUGCUUCUACUUGACAGCUCUUUCAGGAGAUGUAUCCAAAUGAAGAAAAUUUCCCAGAGACAACUCCACCUGAGAAUUCCGAGGAUGAUAUUGGACUCACUCUAGAGACCUAGAUAUAAUGCUGGACUGGAUCAGUUUGCUAAUUAUGCUGCUGUAUUCAAUCACUCCCUAUCUCUGCCAGCAAUUAUCCGGGCAUUAUGUACCUGGUGCGUUGUAGUUGUGGUGGCAUUGAGUGGUUUAUGAAGCUCUAUGCAUAUUUUUUAAAGCAGUUGAGGGGAAAACAAAUGUGAUGCUACUACACACGUUUCCUGUUUUGAGAACUUCAAAAAUUCAGAGAUGCUUGGUUUUUCAAGCAACUAUUUGUUGUAAAACAUGAAAAAACUCAUCAGAGAGAUCACUGUUACAUGAAAACUUGAUGAUAGAGUUAAGAUACUUCUUUGUAAACAUGACAAGUGAAUCCGUAUCAGUGGAAAUAUGUUGAUUUCAACAAUUAUUAGUUUUCUCG